UUCCAAAUGCCAAACCCCACUAAUUUAAAACUAAAAACCAAAAUAUAAAUGUAGCUAAGAAGCUGACCAAAUUGGACAUGCAACUUAGAAAAUAACCCCCACAAACAAACUUCUCUGAUGAUGAUGAUGAUGAUGAUGAUGUCAUAAAUCUUCUACUCCUCAGUCUUCUCGACCGGAACAUCUGUGGUAGUUUCCUCUGGUUUCUCUUCCUCUACUGGAGGAGCUGCUGGUGUCUCAGCACUUUCAGUGGUCUCUUCUUUGGUCUCCUCAGCAACAGCAGCAACAGGCUCCGCUGCUGUGACCUCUUUGGGCUCUUCUGCCUCUGUUUUCUCUGUUUCUGUUGCUGCUGGCUCCUCUGCCUCAGCCUCAGCAGCCUUGGUUUCCUCUGCCACCUCCUUGGUCUCAACUUCAGCUGGAACUGGAGCUUCAGCUUCAGGAGCAGCAGGUGCCUCUGCCUCUGCUUCUGCUUCUACUGGUGUGGUUUCCUUUGGCUCUUCGGUGGUUGCAGCCUCAGACUCAGUGACAGCAGCUGGUGCGGCAGCCACAGGCUCUUCCGGGGUUUUCUCUUCAGUCUUGAUCACCUCAACUGUCUUUGCCUCAUUUUCUUGCAACGUUGCUGCUGGUGCAACCUUCAAAAUCAAGUUUUGUAAAAGAAAAAAAUCACUCAUAUUUUCAUGUUAAGAAGCUAAUAUUGCAUGAUAACAUAAAUUACAUAAAAUCCUAAGUUUUCGACAUGGGUCGAUCCAUCAACUUCCAAGCUUUAUACUUGUAUGCAAAUCAGUAGCAAAUAAUAUGUCAGGUCUACACACACACACACACACAUAUAUGUAUAUGCAGAUGGGUUCUUUUUUAAACCAAAGAGCACCAAGAAAAGCAACAGAGAUAUUGUGUCUAUAUGGAUGAGCUCGCAUUACCUCAACAGUGGCCAUUGCUUUAGCAAAGGGUAAUGAAACUUGAACAGAAACUGGGAAAAUAGAAUGCUUGAAGAAUCAAGAUAUGGGAGGGAGGGGUGAGUAAAGAGUGCUUAAUUGCUAGUGAGUGAGAGAAAUGAUCAGUGUGAGAGCUAUAUAUAGAUAGAUGUGUGAGUGCCUCAAUGCCUAAAUCUUAUAAAAAUAAAAAAUAAAAUAAAAAGAAUAGGAGAAAGAGAGCACUUGAAGAAUCUUUUGGCAAUUUGACACCUCAUGGUCCCUGACACAAAUUAAAGGACAUUAACUUGUCUAGUUGUAAAUGUUUUUGGUUUGGCGUUUUUUUUUCCUUCAGAUUUUAUAAGUAUAUUUUGUAAUAGAAAUAGCUUUGUAGACAAUGAAUGAAUUGGAAUGGCAAAUGGUGGAGGCCAUUUCUCAUAUCAGCAUCAUAUCUUUCUUUUGAAUUGGUUUUUCUAUGUUUUGUGCAGUAGGGCAUGUAGGUGACUGGCCAUCAUGCACUCAUGUUCUUGUGCCCUCUAUUUCUUUUUUUAUGUCUUAGUUAGUAGGCCCUAUCACUAAGCUUAGCCUAAUUUCGGUUAAAAGUCUUCUUUUCUUUUUUUAGUAUGAGUGAGUGAGUGAGUGUUCCAACAUUGCUUUUGCAAACUAAAAACGUUACACAAGAUGCAAUAGAAUUAGACUAAAUUAAAUUCAUCUAAUUUUCCGCACUUAUAUUAUACAAGAGAAUAGAAUAAAGUUUGAGACAAGAGUUAGGAUUUCAACUAAAGUAAAUUAAAAAAUACAAAGACUUCUCUCUCUCUACACGACCAAUUGUACGAUUAAUUAUAUGAUGGUUGUAUACAAUCGGUGAUAAUGCAUAUUUUCUUUUUCUUUUUUCCUACUCAAUGUUGAAUAGGCGUGGCAUGGAGGACGGGGGCAUGAGGAAUGCACAGACUCUGCAAUAUAAUUCAAUUUUGUCACUAGCUCUGAUUAAUUGAUUAAUUAAUCGAAUGCACAGGAUUAGUAGACAAAUUAAAGCAGAGGGUACAAACUUGAUGGUAGUGUCGUUUAGUGGUUAAAAAGAGGGUGGCAGCUUUUACUAUUCUAGUCAAAAAUUUGUUUACCAUUUUUAAGGUUUCACAUUCAUUCUUCAUCAUAAUCACUUUGGAGAGAAUUGAAUUUGGGACCAAAAAACAACUUCUUGAUCGAUCAUCCAUCCAAUGGACGCGAGCCAAACACAAGAAAACAACGUAUCAAGGCCGGUGCGUGGUGCCUCAGGGUGGGACCCAACAUCACCAACUGCGAUCAUCACCGUCCCAUGGGCCCUCCAUUCCAUGUGGACCCACAUGCAAAACAAAUAAAAAACGCUGCCGUGGCAAACCUUCCCAUCCUUUGAGCCCAUUGCGCUUGGCCUUGGCAACCGCCCUUUCUAUAAAGAUGAGGGCUGCGAGGGCCCAGUGGGUCCUGCUGUUGAUGCUUUCCAGGUCGGAUACUCGUGACUCCGGACCCACUUGCAUCCGUCUCAUUUGCCUUGCUGGAUUACACUCAUCGCUCUGAUUAUAUCGUCAACUGCGAACGUACUAUACUACCCUUAUCAAUAUUAGGUACUCCGGGCAGCUAUAGGUGCUACACCAUAGCCAAGUAAAGGGCAUAUUCGUCAUUGAAAGAUCCAAUAAGAAUUUACUAUGUUUUUGUGGAUCUCUAUAAUAAUAAUUUUGAGAUACGUAUAAUAUUCUCUUGUAUAGAGUGACUCGAAUUUUGGACGAAAGUAAGUAAGCAAACGAUCCAUCAUGCCUCGCCUCGACUUGUGCGUCAUGAAAUUCAUCCAUGCCAUGCCCCCCCUUGUAACCUUGUAAUGUAAAUAAUCAUUUCCCGUGAUGUGUAUUAGUAUUAGAUUAAGUCAGGUUAACUUCAUCUCAUUACUAAUUUUGUAUUUUGUUAUUAGCAAUCUCGGGAUUAAAUAUGUCCAGGUUGGAUGGACUCCGAGAGGGGAGAAAGACUUCAUUAAUCUGGUUUCAUCGCUCCUUUUGUGGUAUAAUUUUGUCACAUUAUUUAUGAAAAAAGAGAAAAAAAAAAUAAGACAAUAAAACGAAAAUAAAGAAUUAUAAAGGGUAUAUGUACAUCGUUUUCCUCCCUAAUUUGUAACAGCGAAUGUGCAGCAAAGGGAAAGGAAAAUGCUAGGGAGACCAACUUUAGAUACCAACUUGUGUACCAACUCUCUAAUAGAGUGUGGGACCCAUUGUAUUGGUGGACUCCACCUCUAUUAGAGACCAUUUGGUGGGACACUCCCCACCGUCCCCGGCUCCCUAGCAUAACCCAAAGGGAAAUGGUUUGAUAAAGGCUAAAGAGCAGGGGACGGUGGGGAGUGUCCCACCAAAUGGACCCCGCUAAAAUUAGUGUGAUGAGUGAUGACAACAAUAAACAAUUGGACCAGUCAGUAGUCGACAUGGCACGGCUUCUUAAUACAAGUAGAAAAGGUAGAACAAAGGACGGGACAACUGAGCGCAGUUCCUCUGGGGAGGUGGAACCCAUGCGUCAACGGCUGGUCAAUAAUUCCAUGACUCCGGUUAGUGUGUGUAGUGUAGGUGUCAUACACGUAAGCUUGAGUUUGGCCAUGCUGGAAAAACAAUCUCCUUUGCCCAUACGCAAUUGUCCAAAGUAGAAUGUAGGACGUACUAUUUCCCUUACUAAUAUAUAAGAUCGAAACGCACGAAAGAUUUUACGUUCCAAAUUUAUAUAACGUGCGCGGAGGAUGAUUUAAAAGGAGAAAGACUACUUUUUUAAAUUAAAAAUUAAAAUAUUUAUUUUCUAAAUAAGUUAAGUACUUUUAAUCCAUCAAUUAACUUGAUUUGAAAAAAUUUCUCAAGUCACAUACUUGCGCUUAAUCUUAUAUAUAAUCUCUAUAUAUAAAUUUUUCUUCUAAAUUGCCGCUUUCAACAUGAUUGCCUUUGGCAAUGUAAGAAGGGUGUUGAGUUUUAUACGUAACUACCAAGUUUUAAUUGGUCCAUUCCAUAUGGAGCUUUUAAAUCCCAAUCAAUCACCAAAAACGUCACAAUCAGAACAAGUGUUUCUUUUCAACAAGAACCAAGUGGUCUAAUUGAUUGAGAGCUAGCUAGCUCAAUCAGAAACUAACUAGCUUCAGGUAACUUCUUUAUGUUUUUUCUUAUCAUCUUGACAUGUGUUUAUGGAGAAAUACUUCCUUAUUUCCGUUUUAUUCCUUUUGUAUUUUUAUCUCCCUCUCUAUUUGAUAAGUGACAUAAGAAGAGAUAUAAGAAGAAUGGAACAAUUACGUUUCUUCUCAAUGUUCAUGACUUGUAUAUUUUGGAAUUGCAAUUUGCAACCCUUAGGCAAACAUCUUUUUAAUAUUUCUUUUCCACACUUUUUGUAUACCCCCGCACGUUCUUUUUCAAGUGUAUUUUCCUCUUGGUUGAUUGAUUCUUUCUUUCCCAUGUUCAAUUUAGCAGCAGGUCCAGGUAGGCCACCAUAUAUACAAAGUGGGGCUUGGAUCGACAAGAGAAAUAUCAAUCAAUCAAAACUUCCGAAGUUUCGGCCACUGAGAAUGAAUGACUAUGGAUCAUGGAAGGAAGGGGAAACCUCGGCUGUCGGCUCUGCUUCAGUUGAAUCUUAUUUCUUCUUGUACUGAGUGAAUGUGAAUCUUUAAAGUUGCAGACCACAUUCAUGCUAAUCAUAUUCGUUAAAGAAUAUAGCACGCACUUUUUUCUUUGGGUCCUUUUCCGUCAAACCUUGAAAAAUAUAAUUCCAACCAGUAGCAACUUUGUUAUUUCUUUUAUUUUUUAACCAACUCCAAAAGCCUCUUUUGCAAAGUAAUUGUAUCCAUGGCAAUGGCAUCCAUAAACAUAAUAAUAAAACUACUUAAACCACUCUUUUACAAAUAUAACAUGUCAUGUUGAAAUAAUAGGAUAGAGAGUUGUAUAUAAGUCACUCACAAUAUUUGAUUUGAAAACAUUUCCUGCGAUGCAAAAUUGAAAAUUGGAAUCUCAAAAUAAUUUAAUAUUUUUUGAAGUCAAUACAAGCUACAACAAGCAAAGCGUGUCAUUGUUUAACGAUCAGAACAACUUUAACCUUGCUACAGACUAUAAUAAGGUUUUCAAAAGUUCCUAAAUUUUUCAUAGGUCUAAGUCUAACUGGCUUUCCUGCCGGUGGGAAUGGAAGAAACCUAAGACUGGAACACGCAAGGCAGAGAACGAUGUUUCCGAGCCAGCCAGACAACUGCAUGAUUCGGUUUUUCAAAUGGCAAGUUUCUUCAACACUGCUUCAGCACGGUGCUCAAAUUUUGGUAAGGCCCAAUCAUGCUGGACUAUGUCAAGACUGUCCUUCUCAGCGCCCAAGCUCUGACCAAUUAAACAAAUACGGAAAACCGUACAGAUUAGGAGUGGUGAUACAGAAAAAAAUUGCUUUAGAUUUUAUUUUAGAGUUGAGUUUUUAUCUCGAAACGUGAAGCCAUACAUUUAACAAAUUAUAAGGUAAUGCUCCAAUACUUUCAUACAGCUACGCAUUUGUUAGAUAUGAAGUAUGUUAGGGACAGUUCACAUCCGUCCAUUCUCUUCCAAAGUUGAUCAUGCAAAGUGAUGGGUGCUUCACAAUCUAAGAAAUAAUAAAUAAGGGCCCAUAACCAUUUUAAUUUUAGUUUUUAGUUUUCAUUUUUUGUGUGAGUAUAGAGGAAAAUAGGAGUGAGAAUGGGAGCGAGUGAGAAUGAGAGAGAUGAUGAGAGGGAGGAGUAAUAAAAGUGAAAAUAAAAACUUGAAAGUGAAAACAAUUUCAAAUAGAUUUCGGUUUUAGUUUUAGUUUUCACUUUUGUUACUCCACCCUCCCAUCCUCCCCUCAUCUUCCCUCUAAAUCCCAUCUCCACUCUCAUUCUCACUUCCAUUCUCCCUCUUGUUCCUCUAUACUUUAGCACACAAAAUGAAAACUAAAAACUAAAAUUGAAAUGGCUAUCAAACAGGUCCUAAGUAGUUUAAUUAAGGAGAUCACAUCCACUGUCAGUCAAGUGAGUAAGUUAAUUGGGCGACAUAUAAGCCCCAGCAUACCUAUUGUCCCAAAAGGAAAAAUCCCUGACCUUAACGUUCACACGACUUGACAACAAAUGCACUUAAAAAACAACAGCGAUGACAAUGCACAGAAUCCAAGGUCUAAAAAGGAUACUUUCAUGAAAUGUAUUUAGAUAUCAGUUCUUUUCAUUCAUCAUAUUGAGCAGGCCAAAUUACAUAAAUAGAAUGGUUGCGAAGAAACUAAAGAAUGGCAUCUGAAAUUUUCUAAGAUUAAUGACUCUUAAACCUCGAGGAUUACAAAAAACUAUUAAGUUCAUACCUUUGAUGGAUCAAAACCAAACCCACUCAUUUGCAUCAUACGCUGAGUAUCAUCCAUUGCUGCAUAAGAAAAGUUUUUAUUUUAGUUUAUCAACCUCCUAGAGUACAUAAAUUCUAGCUCAUAGUUUCGGUGUUACAUGUGUGAAAAGAAGCUCAACAUGCAUUUCUGAGUAUGAAAGCUAUCAUGAUGAAAUAAUCACAAAAUGUGGCACUAACCAUUUUCUUCUCCCAGAAUGAGACUAAACAAACCUCUUAAUCCAAACAGAUUAAGAAAGUACCUGAGAGAAAGAGAUUUUGAAUAAUUUGAGACAAUCAGUUAAGCAAACAACAAAGAGGAGGAAAUUGUUUUAAGUACCAUGAGCGGCUACUGACAUAGCUAACAUCAACAGUGCUUAAGUCAAUCCCAUUCUGCAGCAUUGACCUGAACCUUUGAGUAAGAGGAAAGGGUAUUUUGGCUGUGGAAAAGAAAAAGAAACAAAUAUAUAACAUGAUAACUUGACCAUAUGAUAGUAUCACUUUAUAUUAGUGAAUACAACCAUACAUACAUUGAACAACGAUCUAUCAUACAGGCAGAGCAGAAAGGGAAGAAGAAAGAAGGAUGACAAAUUUAUGGAAGCACCAAGGUGAAAGAACAUUAAUGACAUAAAAGAGUAGAAGUCACAACUGGAAAAAAAAAAAAAAAAACACAAAACGCAAGAAGUCACAAGUUCGAGUAUUUGCAAGAUUCACAUCCCAUACAAAGUAACAAAGCAGUUGCAUAACAUAGGAACAGAAAAAUUGGAUUCAGAGGCAUUGAAACUUACCUGCUACAAAUCCAGAAAAGAAAAAGUUGACCCAUGCAAAAGUAAGAGUCUGGCCAACACAAAGGCGAUCAUAAAAAUAUCAGUUACCAUAUCUGAGAAAAUCAAGCCAAACUACAAUAAAAACACAAGCAAUUUGAAUACCUGGGGUAUGAUCAUAGACAGAUUUUUCUUCAUCAUGUCCAUAGCCAUGUUGGGAUCAGAGAACAUUUGCGCUUGUGCAUUCUGUACCUGACCCUUGGGAACAAUUAACAACCCAUUUUCCUGCCACAGUGCAACGUGUUUGACUUAAGUAUCAACAGAGUAACACAACAAAUAGCAGACUACAAGCUAGUUUCAGCAAAAGCAUCUGCUAUAAAAGAACCCCUGAAGCAUAUAAAUCAAAGUUGAGAAUUCUUGCCAUGGUGGAUUCAAAUUUCCAAUCCAAAUUACAUAACGCCUAAUGCUAACUCAACUCAUCAACAAGACGAACAAAUAAAAAUUGUUUUCCAGCUUAUAAUUUGAAGAUGAACAAAAGCACGUCAAUUUGAGUGUUAUUAGGGGAAUUACUUGCAUAAAUAGCAAUUACAGCGAGAAUUAAUAUCAAACCUCAUUGCUGAAAUAAAACCGGCGAGCGCGAAACGACUUGGGAGGUAUGAAAUUAGCAGCAGCACGUAAAUUCCGAGCCCUAAUAAUCAAUUGCCUGAAAUUCGCAAAGAAAAUUUAAUUUGAUAAAGGCAGAUAGAGAAUUAGUAAUAUAUAUAGAUGCGUUUAGUAAGCAUGCAUAGUUAGUGUUGAUAGAGAGACCCUUCUUUGAUGAUUUUUGCAUCGGGGACUUGGUUGGAGCGCAUGAGCUUGGAGACGAAGUAUCGGAGGACACCUAUGAGAACCAUGACCACCGAGAGAGGGAUGAGAACCCAAUCUCUGAUGGCUGUGUCUAGCACCAGAUCUGCCGCCAUUGUUGGACCUCACAGGCACUAAAUGACACUCUUUGGUUCGUUUUGGGUCUCGGCUCUGCUCUGCCUCGAUCGAUUGUUUCUUUCACUACACACUUUCGUUAAGCAAAGGUGAAAAGAUCAAAGACGGACGAGGGACAUCCGUGUCCCUCUUGGAUAGUCAAAGGUUAUUUUUGUCUUUAAAAGUCGUUGGAUUUCAUAUGCUGAGUUCAAACAACCCAAUAAUGAAAGAGUGAUAGGCCCAGCCCAAUCAUUCUCAUCAACUGGAACUGCUAUAAAUUUUUUCUGAUUAGUCCAACAAAUCAAAAUUGUACAUAAUCUCAAAUUUCAAAAUGAUAAAUCAUCUGGCCUAUUAGCUCAGCUGGUUAGAGCGUCGUGCUAAUAACGCGAAGGUCGCAGGUUCGAGACCUGCAUGGGCCACUUUUUCAGCUGUUUUACUUAUUUUUCAAUCCUCAGUAUAUGUUUUUCACCAAAGAAGUUUCAAUUGGUAUUAAAUAUUUUAAUUAACUUCAUAAAAAUUAAUUAAUUUUUUAGAACUUUUUUUGGGCUUUAAUUUUCAUAACGAUAAAAUUGUCUUUGGAAUCGCUAAUUACUUCAUAGUUUUAAUUGAGUACUACCUUACUCUGAGUUAAUUAAUAUAAUUAGUAAUUAGCUUUUAGUUAUUACUUGUUUAGUCUUAUUUCCUUAAAUGAAUUUGAAUAUUCAAACAGCUUAUCUAUAUAUAUAAAGCAAAAGGUAGAGAAUGGUGAAACAUUCAAAAUACCAGAAAAUGCUCUUGGUUAAUGCAAACAUUAAGAAUUCAAAUUAUUAAUUAAAUGAGGAUAAUAUGGUAAAUUCACACUUUUUCAUAUUUAAAAAAAUUAAAAGAAAAAGAAAAAGCAGAUAAUGGAUCCUAUUUUUAUGGAACACAACUACCCAUUAUCUUUUUUAAUUCUAAAAUAAAUUUACUUAUUUUUAAAAAAAACCUCUCGCAAGCGCGGAAGCGGGUGCAGAGAGGCUAGUACUCUUUAAAUAUAUUAUAUUUUGAUUAUUAAUUAAUUAAUUAAUUACUAUUUAUUAAGUAAUUUAAAAAAUCAGUAAAAUAUUUAAAUAAUAACUAAAGAAAAAAUAAAUAUAGUAAUUUAAAAAAAUUAAAAUAUUACUUAAUUACAUAUAUUAAAUAAAGAAGUGGGCCAAAAACAUAAAAUAAAUAAAUAUAUUUUUAUUUUUAAAAUUUUAAAAUAUUCCCGAUCGGCUACUCUUAAAAUAUACUAUUUAUAGAGUAUAGCCGCGCGGCCAUACUUAUAAAAUAAUCUAUUUAUGGAGUAUAGAUGCACGGCUAUACGUUUGAAAUAUUCUAUUAUAGCGUAUAGCCGCCCGGCUAUACGUUUAAAAUAUUCUAUGUUAUUGAGUAUAGCCGCGCGGCGUUACUGUCAAAAUAUUUUAUGUAUGGAGUAUCGCCUAGCGGCUAUACUUUUAAAAUAUGCUAUUUAUGGAGUAUAUCCCUACGGCUAUACGGUUAAAAUAUUCUAUUUAUGUAUUAUAGCCGCCCGGCUAUACGCUUAAAAUAACAGACAAUCAUAACUAUGCUAUCAAAUGAACAAGAAAAAAACCUGAAGAACAUACCUGGCGAGCUUCAAUAGAGAUAGCCUCAUGUUCAUCGGAUAUUGCAUUUGCCAUCUCAAGUUUAUCGUUCAGGGACGCAACUUCUUCAAGAAGUCCGUCUCUCUCGCUGAUGACCCUUCUCAACUCAUCCUCGAUACCUUCAACUUGACAGAGUAAUUUUGUUUCCAUUGAAGAAGUCAAAUGAAGAAUUUCUUUUUCCCAACCUUUCACCAUUUCCUUCUGCUCUUCCAGUUGUUCAUUGGCCUCAGAAUUUUUGAGAUAGAGAUCAUUUAGAAGCACUUUCAACUCAAAAUUUUGGUCUGAAAGAGUAUUGAUUGUAUUGUAUCUUUGGCCUGCUCAAGAUUAGAAUUUGAUAAAAGCAGAGCCUUUUCAGUAUCAGUAAGAUGAUCCUCGAGCUUUUUGUGUUGAAACAGCAGGUCAUCAAGCUGGCAUAUUUUAUUUUUAGUUCAUUCUGAAUUUGGCUCAAAGAUUUUAUCAGCUAUUCAGUUUCAUCCUUUAUAUCCAUUGUGUUGGAUGCUGAUUCAUGCAACAUUCUAAAAUCAAAAUACAAGCCCUCCAGUAGAGCAUCUUUCCGUUGCAGUUCUUCCUUCAGUGAUAAAUUCUCGUGCAUCAAACUAUCACGGGACAAACUGAGCUCACCAGCUUUCAAAUUUGUGACUCCACUUUGAUCAUUAUUGUCUUUGGAGAUGUUACUAGUAAGUGCAAUGUCAUCCUCACAACUUGACCACAUUUUUUGUUGCUUGUUUGUAAUUGAAAGGCCUUCUUGCUGUCAGCUGGAGCAGAAACCACUUCCAACGUUUAAGCAUGGUAUUUUAUGGAUCAGCUCUCCUGUGAGACACUGAUGAAGGACAAAUAUGGCAAAUUUGUUCUCCAAUGUCUCAGCGCAUAUUUCUUCUAGUAAUGAUCUUGAUUUGCUAAUGAAGCAGUGUAUCUCCCUUCCCAUAAAAAAAGUAUCAGCAUAUAAUGCUUUGAAACUGUCCUCCACUUCACUUUUUAAUUGCAUAAAACACUCUUUCAAGCAAAGACAAUGAUUUUGCUAUCUCCACCAAAUUAGAUUGAUCCUGCAGUAGUUCAUUCUCUCUUUCUUUCAAACGUACUGAAUUUUUGAGAUGUUCAACUUCUUCAAUAAAGCUUGCUUUCUCUAACAUCAGUUCCUCACCAAUUUGCUUCCACAGGCCAGUCAAUUCUUUUGCAUUUUCAUUUGCUUCCGUCAAGGCAUUUAACAUAACAUCAGCUUCUUUUAUUGUUGCAUGCGCUUUGGUUAAGAAGCUACUAGCAAAAUCACUCUUCUCAUCAGAAACUACCUGCACAUCACAAGAGUGUUACUUAAAGUAUAAGAACGGUGAUUUAGCUGACUUAGUCUCUUAUUUAGAAAAGAUUGGUUAGGACAGUGCUACUAUUAAUCCUUUCUAACAUAUAGUUGCCUCACAAAUUUACAAUGCAAGAAUUGGAUGAUUUGAGAAAAAAUUUGUUGUGCCUUUUUUGUAGCAUGACAACCAUAAGAACUCUCCGUCCUUGACUCAAACAAUGGAACAAGUUGUUUCAGUCCUGCAUACAAUAUGAGCUGAUUAAGUCCCUUGAUUAAUAUAUGUUUCUGAUCGUUAAAAGUGUAAGAUAUUCAGUAAAGAAUAUACCUGCUGGUUGAGAACAACCUCCAAUGUCCAACUCGCUAAUGAGUGUGGCUAGCCUAACAUAUAGUUUGUUGAAAGCAUCAAGUGCCAUCUCUAAUUCCUUUUUCAGGCAGAAUGUUGCUCCUUUAGAGUCCGUGAAAGUUUUUAAGACCCACUUUGACUCUUCUGGAUCUUGAUCAGCAGACUGUAAGUACUGAGCGUUCUUUAACUUUCAGGUCCCCCAUUUGCCCUUCUAAUGCCCACAAUUUGUUUCCAGAAGCAAAACUUUCGGUUGAAGAAUCACAGCUUGACGUAGUACUAUCAGUACUCCAUUCAUCUUCAUCUUCUAAACUUUUGUCUGCUGAAGGGCAAUCAUACACAUUUACUUUUGUGUAAAUGAAAUCUUCAGUAAUUUUCAAUCUACCAUUUGCUACAGUGAGCUCAUUUUUUAUUUCAAGAAUCAUGUGAUAAAUAUCUUUAGACUUCAGAUACUUGUGUGCUUCUAACGAAAGCGACUCAACUGUACAAAACUGAGAAACUUUGGAAUGCUCUCUUAACUCCAUAUAUUUCUUCCUCAUUUCACGUUCACUUACCAAGUUUUGAACCAACUCGUUGCAUUCAUCAGAAACUUCACUGAUGUUGGUCUCAAGGACCACUAUAUGCAUUUCUGUAUCUGCAUAAAAUGCUUCGAUAGCAUUCUCAGACUCCAAUAUUCCUAACCUGGCCAACUCAAUUUCAAUAAUGACAUCUUCUCGUCCUAAAGCAUUUACUUUUGUGUCAUAGUAUUGAGAUGGGAAUGUUUCUCUCUGUUUUGUCUGUCACCUUCUGAUCCGUAAGCCAUUUUAUUACAAGGAAUGCAGCAUUGGCACAAUUUUCUGCUUCUUUGACCUGAGUUUCCUUGAAUAUAAGUUUCCUCUCUAGCAUCUCUACCAUGUUGGUCUGCUCAUCCAACCGCAUGCAGAAGGAAAUUUCCUCUUUGGUUUCAUCAUUAUCCAGAUAUUGGAGUUCACUUAAAGCAAUUGCUGCUCCUUUCAAGGAACUUAACUUCUGUCCCAUUUCUGUUACCAUCUUUUGAGCAUCUUCCAAACUCUUUUGUAGUAGUUCAAUUGUUUCUUCCUUUUCCAUGCAAACUUUGGCAGCCCUCUGGACAUCUUCACUAAUACAAACAUUAGCUUGAGGAAAUGAACAACCGAUACUUUCUAUUUGGCUGGAGGCAUUUUUGAGGGAUCUAGAACCAUCUUGGAGGAAUCUUGUUAUUUCAAAGGUUGCCUUUUCCCACUCCACACUCAGUGACCUUAUCUCAUCCUCUUUAGCUGCAAUGGUGUUUUUCAGUACCUUAUUUUCCUGAAUCAUGCAUUGUAAUCUCUCAUCAAGUUCAAACUGAAGGGCAGCAACCUCUUCCUGUAAAUGAAGAAUUGUGUUUGCUGUCUCCAUCUCAACCUGUUCACAGACUAUUUCAGUCUGUUUCUGGUGAAACAACUGUAAUAGCCGAUCCUCUUGAAAGUGGCUAUUGAGUAAUCUGACCUCCUCCAAGUCCUUAACCAUUUUGUCCAAUUUAGCUUGCAAAGCCUUCCUCUCAACGUCUUCACUGAUCUCCAUAAUACAUUUGUUUUCCUUAUGUAAAUCACCUGAUUUCAGAUAACGACGUUCAUGUUUCACCUCCGAUUGGAUUUCUAUUUUGUCGUUGUUGCUUGAUAUGUACAUGUCUCUGCAGCAUUCCUCCUGCACGUGAUGUAAAAUAGUUAUUAAAUGAACCUGCAACAAUCUAGCAUCCAUUUACUGUUUUUUUAGUAUCAUCACCAGCAUUUUGGUCAACAUGAAUCACAUUAUUCUGUACAACCCCAUCAUCUACCUGGGAGUAAGAUGCCGUUUCAUCUCCAGAGUCACUCCCCAUAGAUAGGGUUUCAACCUGUAAAGUGAUGACCAAUUGUAGAUUUGAUUCAAAAAAGAAGGAAAAGAACAGUACACGAUGUCUAUGUAAAGCUUGAAUCUAUUUAAAACUAAUUGGUUUCUGUCUGGUACAAAUUUUUUCCCUCUUCCAUGGAUCUUUUCUGUUUUCUUUUUAGUAACAUGAAGUAUGCAAGAAUGGAAGUGGUAACUUUUCCAUGAAUUAGCUUGGACAGUGCAACACAAAGUGAUUUCAUGGCAUACGUCAAAGUGCAAAUUCAAGGAGUGUACAUAAACUAGUAAACUUAAAAGAAAAUAAAGCAGCUAAUAAAUGCACUGUCGUAUGCUAGCCCCAGUAGAACUACUACAAAUUUGAGGGCAGUUUGUUGCAGUAACUGAUAAAACAUGUGUAAGUGUAUAUUGUUAAAGAAAAAAAAAAAACUGAUCAAUUUAGAAUUCAUGUUCCUGCAAUCUUCCGAUUCCUUUAUGGUAUUACUAUUCUGCACUCUUGAAAAUACGCACAUUAAGAUUUGGAGGUCCCAAAAUGGGGAGAUGUAUCAUUUGGAGGUCCCUAGAAUUCAUGUGCCCUUUGUCAUACUCCCUUAAACAAAUUUGAAUAUUCAAACAGUAUAGCCGCGCGGCUAUACUCUUUAAAUAUAUUAUGCUUUCAUUAUUAUUUAUUUUUUUUUAAAAACAAAAAAAGGUCCACAAAAUAAUUAUUUACUAUUUAUUAAGUAAUUUAUGAAAUCAGUAAAAUAUUUAAAUAUUCACUAAAAAAAAAAAAGGAAAACAACCUCUCUCGACGAAAUUUUUUCGGUAUAGAUAUAUGCCGGCAAUAAUUUUAUUGAUUAGACCUCUCUCGACGAAUGUUUGCCGACAUAAGUUUAUGUUGACAAAAUUGCGUUGGGAGAAGGCUAUACCGGCAAAGUUCGUCGGAAAAGAUCUAAUUUGAAAAAUUGUUGCUAGCAUAUAUCAUGGCGACAAAAUGUCGUCUAGAGAGAGGUUUUUAUUUUAUUUUAAUAAAUAUAAAAUUAGUCUUUUUACUCUUUUUUUGGCCAACUUCUUUCGUUUAGUAUAUGUAAUUAAGUGAUAAAAUUAGUGAUUUUGUUUUAGUGAUAAUUUCGUAGUUUUAAAUUUAAUACACUUUCGAGACUGAAAUUAUGCACCCUCCAAUCCAAUCCAAUAAAAGACACAAAUUAAUAGAUUUAUUAGAUAUUAAAUAAAUUCCUUUUUUGUUAAUGCAGAGGAAAAAGAAGAAGAAAGCAACCAAAUAAAGCAGAGAGAGAGGACAAGACAAUAGCAUAACCAAGGAAGAAACCUAGCUUGUGGGAAAGAUACUUAACUUGUUAGUUGCUAUUAUUGACGCAUGCAUGAUAUGGACCAUGACCAUCCAUAUGGUUUGCUUGAUUCAUUUCAAUUUUCAUUCCUGUGCUGCGCCUGCACAUAUUCAUUUAGGUUGCUUAGGAAUCUUGCACAAAUAUAUGGCUCUGCUUCUUCUUCUGGUUGAUAUUUUAAUAUGUUCGCUCAUAUGGCUUUGGUGUCUUUCCAUCCAUUCAUCUCUCAGUUCUGCUACUGUAACUCAACCAAUAUCAUCACACGUAUUACCAUUCAUUCUGGUGCUGUCCUUCACAAAAAACUAAACAAAACAGCAGCUAAUAAUGUUGUUUCUGCUGAAUUCCAUCCACCAAUUUGUAAUGACGGUCAACCUAUUAUUGGCACAACAAGCUUCUUCUCUUCAAAAUCAAGGCAGAGAGAAAGAGGGUUGUUGCUUGUGCCAUUGAAUGCCAAAAACUCUGGAUUACCAGGAGAUGAGGAGGAUCCGCGAGCUCUCGAAACAGUGCUCAAACUCUACACUGCCAUCAAGAACAAAAAUAUUCGCGAGUUGUCGGAGAUAUUAGGAGAUGAAUGCCAGUGUGUCUGCAACUUAUUCUCAAUUUUCCGACCCCUCCGAGGAAAGAAGGUAUACAUUUUAUAUAUACUGCUUGAUUUCAAUAUUAUAUAUAAUAUAAAACGAACGCUUAUGCAGUAAAUGUCAUCUUUCUUGAUGCAUUACGUGUUAAACAAAUCAUGAUUAAACAAUGUAUUCAAUCGUAAUCAGCUGCAGUUCUUCUUUUCUUUCUUUCUUUCUGUUUUUAAUUUGGAACUGUGACUACAACUGUUGCAGCAAGUAUUGGAUUUUUUCUCAUAUCUAAUCCGAAACUUGGGGAAUAACAUUGAAUUUGUUGUAACACCGACAUUGCACGAUGGAAUGAAUGUCGGAAUUCAGUGGAGCUUAGGUAUUUAUAUAUCACACAACAAAUUCUUUUUUUUAUUCUUUAAAUUAAGAUGACAGUAUACAAAUGGGAAACAACAAGUAGCUAGUUGGAUUGAUAUGCAGAGUGGAAAAAAACGCAUGUGCCUCUGGGAAAGGGCUUUAGCUUCCAUAUUUGUCAAAUCUACAAAGGCAAGGUGAUGUUAAGGUACUGCUUCAAAUUGCAUACCCUCUCUCUGAGUCUGAAUUAUUAGUUUUGAUAAUAAACAUCUUCUUUUCUUUUAGAAAUGUGGAGAUGUUCAUGGAACCACUCCUCCAUAUUGAACCCCUUAGACUGGUAAGCAAAGCAAGCACCUUGCGACUUCUUAUUUCCACUUCAGAAAUGUGUCCCUUAUUGCUGUUUUCUUUGUCUUCUUAUAUAUCACUUGUGCAGAAACUCAUGGGAAUUAUGACGGCUGUACUGGAUAAGAUUGGGUUCAAUGUAGUGUUCAAGGGCAAGGCAAACAGACUUGUGUUGGCUUUCCUCCUCCUGCUCAUCAAGGCCGCCAUUCUGAUUUUACUGAAACUCGUCUUGCAUUAAGCCACCAUCACCCACCCGAGGCGCAGGUGCUGCAGGGCAGACCUUGGUGGGUUUUGAUUUAAUGUACUAUUUUCAUACAAAUUAACAAUUUGCAAUUCCUUCUCCACUCCACCGUGUGAUGGUAAAGUCGAAAAUUUGAUAAGAAAAAGGUGCUCAUUCUGCAAAGGACUGUUGUAUUGCUGGUGAAACCUUUCAUACUUUCAGGCCACCCAUACAAAGUCCUGUCUCCAUCAUCAGUACUCAGUAUUAUUCAAUUUUAAAUGUCUGACAUAUUUACCAUCUCAAAGCCAGAAAGCAAAAAAAGCAAGUCGGAGUUAAAAGAGGAGUUUACUGCCAUGUAACAAGAUACACAAAAGCUGCAGUCAAAACUAACACUUACUGCCAGCCAUCUAAGAAAAUGCAAAGGGUCCUUCCACGCUGUACAGAGCAUUUAUCUUCUGUCACAGUUUCUGGGUUAGGAGAAGACAACUAAAAAGAACUAAACCCCGGGCAAUGGCAUAAACCAAGAAACUUGCCAUCAACCCACAGCACAUAGCAAUUCUACAUAUAAAUAACCACGACAAGUAAGACACCUAACCACGUCAAUGCACAAAAAAGAAAUAAACAAAGAAGAAAAAAAAAGCUUCUUUCCUAUCUUUUCUACCAUCAGAAGAGACCAGAUGGCAAAGGUCCCCAUGCACCUGCAAAAGAAUAAACAAACCACUCCGUCACUUGUUUAGGACAGAUCAGAGCAGGCCAUAGGCAGAAAAACUUUAGCAAAAGAUACAUCUACAGAGACAGGCAAAUAAACUAACAUAAAUAAUUUAAGAAAGAAAUGAGAUGGAGUAAACAUAUGGAAUUUAUACUAACCAGUCAACACUACCAGAAAUCACAAUUGUUUGAACAAGUGAUAGCGAUCUAACAUCUCGUGCAACCCCACUGCAGAAAUGCUUUCGCAUCCAAGAAGCUCGUGGAGCUUUGCGUCACAUAAUAUCACCGUAGAAUUUAAAGGAUCCUGCGGAAAUACAAGAACAGCACCAUCAUAAGUCUUUGUUCCAAAUGCACUAUGAUGGGGAAAAAAAGGUCGAAACAAAGUGAAGUAGCUCUUAAGCCAAUAUAAGGGUAAGGACAAAUACAGCAUUCACUAGAAGAAAUCAAUCCAACUUGUGACUGAUGAUGGAAUAAUGGACAAAAGUACGAUGUCUCCAAUAAAAUAAUCAUCUUAGAUCCACGAGACGGAGAAGGUACAAAAUUGUGCAGCAGGAUCCUACCUCCAAACGGUUAGCCUUUACAUACUCCCAAACAAGGCUUCUUGCCUUAGAUAGGAGCAUCUCCCUUCCUCCAAAGCCCAAAAACUUAGCUAGUGCUUCAGAUAUUCCUACAGUAGGGGAACCAGGUUGUGGUUGUGGUUGAACUUGAGGUUGAGGUUCAGUACUAUCAGUGGUGGACUUGGCCUCUAACUUCAAUCGUUUAGCUUGAGUUGACUCCUCUGCAUAUAUGCAGGAGAAAUGUUAUACAUAAAAUCAAAGAUAUCAUUACACACACUGUGUAGCAAUAUGCACAAUGUUGACGUACUGUUAGGUCCAAGGGGUAUAAUAUGUUUAGCUAGCAGCUUAUUCAUCUUGAACAUGUCAGUACAGUCUGUCUCAAAUACCACACGCAAGGCAUCAUCACAAAUUAUCUUUCUCUUAUUACUUGGAUCUUGGAGGUUGUUCUUCCUUAUGUAUGCCCAGAGCUGCUUUACAAUCUGAAAUACGCAAAAUAAAAAGUCAAUGUACACCCACAAACAUGCAUUAAGAUUUACACACAAAAACUUAAUCCACAUCAUUGGAAAGUUAGCAUAAAAAGAGAAUCUGGGUUGAUUUGGGAGUAAUAACCUCAGUCCUUGGCAAGGCCGGUUCACCAACAACAGCCUGAAGCUCAGGUGAGACACCACAGACUUUGUUAAGACCCCCUGGCCCACCUCUUCUCUUGGUUCCAGAAGCCGGAGCACUGCAGUAAAAUUAUGACCGACACAAACAUGCCAGGUCAUUUUAUUGCAUUAUGAAUAAAGCACUGAAUCAUAAUAGAUUACUUACAACUACAAAACAAAAAGAUAAAGAUUUGAGCUUUUCCAACUACAGAGAAAACUGCCCUAUUUAAAAUUUUAAGAAAAGAAGAAGAAUUUAAUAUAAUGGAACUUUAAAGCACUAAUCCUCCAAAUUUAUGCAAAAAUGUUAAACCCCAACCUAACAGAUAAGCUUACUAGUUUAAUUAGCAAGACCACAUGCUAAGCCAGCUCUUUAAUACGCAAAUUUGAUUUUAUGCUAAGCUCAAACUUAUAGUUUUUCAUACAUUGAAAAGUCAAGCACUUUUUAAAAUAUAAUUAGGGUGAGACUGCAACUGCAAGAGUAAGUACUAGUUGAUUUGUAUUUCAUGCUUUGGGAGUAAGGACAAACAAUAACAGUUUUGACUUUUAUAUGGAAGACAAUACGGUAACAAAAAGGUUAAAACUUUCCCAUUACAGUAAUAUCAGGGUUUAAUUGCCAAUUUCCAUAUGUUUCUUUAUUUGUUACAAACUAUUUUAAAAUCUCUCAUUCACACAAAGCGAUACACGCCGGCAAUUUGACCUUAUCAGUCUUAGUUUUACCCAAAAAGGGAAACCAUAAAAAUUUCAAAUAGCAAGUACUAGCAAUUAAAAUAUGCAAUUUAGCGAAACUUGGUUAGCAGGAAACAGGAAAAGUACAAAACUUUCAAAACGGCCAUUAACGAAAUAUUGCUAAUUGGAAACUCUAUAAACGUGUACCACUUACAUUUCAUAGAAACGCAACCUUUGCAAUCUAAAGGAAAGUAAAACCCUAAAAAUUCACCAUUUCUGAUUUGAAAUUUUGAAAACAAAAUCCAAACCUCUCUUUGGGAGUUUCUGGGGCGACUUUAGUGGCAUUCUGCGCCAAGGCCUCGUGCUUCACAGCGGGAGGCUGCAGCUGAGCCUGAGGCCGCAGUUGCUGAGGCGGCGGCGGCUGCUGGAAGCUGUGGGGCUCGGGGGCGCGGUGGUGGGGGUGGAGGGCAAAAUGGGGAGGAAAUUGUUGGGGGAGGAAUUGAGGAUGGUGGUGGUAAUGGUGCUGGGGGUUGGUGUGGAGGGCAAAAUGGUCUUUCGGAGGUUGGUGUUGGGGUUGCGGUUGGGCGUACGGGCGGAGGAGGAAGCUGAUCUGGUCCCGAAUGAAGCCAGCCUUGUGGGACAGGUCUAACCCUAGCUUGGCCUCGAGCUGCUGAACGACACCGUUUACGGAGGUGACGUCGUUAGGGCCUGAUUGACGGAGAACAGUCUCCACACCUUCCGCUAUUUCUUGGUCCGACACCAUGCUGGUACACACAUAUAUUAACAGAAUAAACGGAAACCAAACGCUCUUCACUCUCUCUCUCAGCCUGCUCUCUCUCUUCUUCUCUCUGUCUCUCUCUUCCUCUCUCUGUCUCUCUCUACUCUUUACCGCUCUCUUUAUAACGCUGAAAUGACGAAAAUAUCCCUUCAUGUUGAUUUUAUUAUGAAAAGUCGGUAAAGCCCAUCGUUCUGUCCACUCUGAGUUUCAGACUGUUGAGCUCGAUCUCCCUGUCCGGUUUCCAGAAGACGAAAGUACCCUUUUGAAUUUCACCCUAUCCAUCCCAUUAUGGGUAAAAGAUUCGGGGUAAAUAUGUCACGUGGGAAAGUUGCAGCUGGUUUUCUUUUGUUCCUCUUUUUGUUUCACUUUUCAAAUUAAAGAUAAAGAUAAAGAGAGGUAAACAUUGUCUAGAGCUACAGAAUCAAACUGGUUGAUUGAAUUACGAUAAUGCCCUGAGUCCUGACUGGACCUCUGCAACUUUGCGAUCUUUUUCUCUGACGAAUGAGAGUCUGCUUUGUGGAGAAGGUAAGGGCAAAUGUGGUCAACAAAAUAUGAUUUCUCGCCUUGACUAUGGACCGUUGGAUAAGAAUUGGUGGGUUUGGUCAACUACUGUUGAAUGUGAUCGCUUGAUCCAAAGGUCGAGAAAGCACUUUCAAUUAUCUAUCAGACUGACCAUGUUUCUUCACCUACCACCUACCUCUCUUUAUGUGAUCACUUGCAAUGUACUAAAGCUAGUUCAAUGAUACUCGACAGAUUAUAUACUUUGUUAAGGCAGUUUAUGCAAAAACAAGAGAGAGAGAGAGACACACACACACACAUGAAGAACGCAAUUCAAAAGAAGGAAUAUUGCAAACAACAUUAAAAAUAAAGCAUAGUCAUAGUAAGAGUGGCUCCAGCGAAGGAGCCCAGCCCGAGGCAAGGGCAGAAAAAAAAAAAAAUUUCGCUCCAGCGUGUAGCCCAGGCCCGGGUUUGGUGUGGGACCCACCAACUCGGGCCAGCCCGAAGGCCAAACCAGCCCCAGGUCCAAAACGCGGGUGCUGACGUCAGCGCUGACGCCAGCGCCAACGGUAGGCUGCCACGUGUCGCGCUCAGUGCCUUCCGAUCUGCUUCUCCUUUCUAAUCCAACGGCUGAGGCUUUUUUGGGUGAAAAAAAUAUGAAAAAAAAUUCUAAAAAAUUCUAAAAAAUUAUGGUAUUUUUUUCUAUAAAUACCUAUCAAUACCCUUCACUUUCAACACCAAUACUCUUACAUUUCAUUAUACUUCUACUAAUAUUCACUCUUUUUACACAACAUUUUCCUCUUUUUCAUCUAGCAUUUUGAUUUCAUAUUUUUAUGGCUUCUUCUAUCGAAACCGGAGGGGCUUGGAGCACAAUGGAAGAUGUUUCUUUGUGUGAGGCUUGGCUCCAAAUUUGUCAUUGUCCCGUGUCCGGCAAUGAAAUGAAAUUUUUUCAUAUGUGGAAAAAAAUUCAUGCCGAAUUUUGUGAAAAAAUUCCGGGGUCUACUCGUACGGAGAUGGCAUUAUCCAGUAGGUGGAAAAUUCUCAAUAAAGAGUUGGGAAAAUGGAGAAAUGCCCUAGCAAAAGCGAUGGACAACUAUAGAAGUGGGCAAAAUCGUACUAACGAGGUAAGUAUUUUAUAAUUUUUGUGUUAUUAAGUUUAAUCUCCUAAUAUAUAUAUAUUUUGUUAAUAUUGCUUACAUUUUCAAUAUGUUGUAUAUAUUUUGUUAAUAUUGCUUGCAUUUUCAAUAUUUUGUUAAUAUUGCUUGCAUUUUCAAUAUGUUGUAUAUAUUUUGUUAAUAUUGCUUGCAUUUUCAAUAUUUUGUUAAUAUUUCUUGCAUUUUCAAUAUGUUGUAUAUAUUUUGUUAAUAUUGCUUGCAUUUUCAAUAUUUUGUUAAUAUUGCUUGCAUUUUCAAUAUGUUGUUAAUAUUUCUUGUAUUUUCAAUAUUUUGUUAAUAUUGCUUGUAUUUUUAAUAUGUUGUUAAUAUUUCUUGCAUAUCCAAUAUAUUUUAAAUAUUUAUUGCAUUUCCAUUUUUUUGUUCAAUAGAUGAUUCAAGCACAAAUGUGGUUCGGUGCAACCGGGGGUGGCAAAAAAAGUUUCACCCAUCAUGAAUGUUGGGAGGUGGUGAAAUUUUGCAAACGCUUCGUAAUUAUUCCAACGGGUCCGGAGGUUGUGUUAAACGAGACGCCACUCCGUGAUUCAAUGACAUCGGAUUCACCUCUUGAUUCUCCUAUGAGUCAAGACUCACCCAUCGAAAAGGAGCCGAGGCCCAUUGGCCGAAAGGCCGCGAAGGCAAAGAAGAAGGGUAAUUCAAGCAAUCAAAAUUCACAAUUUUUGGAGGAAAUUGCAAGGCAAAACGGCAUAAGAAUAGAAAUGGAGCAAAAACGCCAAGAGCACGAGUUGGCCCUUGAUGCUGAGUUUGUACGUGAAAGGGAGUAUUUGCGCAAAAAAGAUAUGGACAAGACAGAUCGGGAAACCAUGGCGAUGAAUACAAGUCAUAUGUCCCCUGAAACAAAACAAUUUUGGAAGCUAGAACGAAGGGAUGUUAUGAGAAGAAGACUUUUCCGGGAUGAUGGGCCUAGCAACUCGGAUUGGUUAAAUGAUGGAAACCAUUAAAUUAGUUAGCAUAUCUUUUAUGUAUUUGUAUUUUAGUUGUUUUCUAUUAAAGUUGUUAUAAUUCAUGUAUUUUAUUUUAUUAGUAAUUCAUAAUGACUUGUAUUACAUUUCAUUAUUUAAUAAACAAAGCAUUCAAUAAAUUACCUUUUUAUUCAACAUAUUCCAUACUUCAAACAAAACAUAAUAAAAUUAAAAUUAAAAGUACAAACAAGGCACAAUAAUAAAAAUAAAAGUACAAACAAGGCACAAUAAAAAUAAAAACACAACCAAACCAUACUAAAUAAAACAUAAGCAAAGCAUCUAUUCUCCAUUAUUAAUCUUCAUUGCCUUUCACCGCCCAUAGAUGCUCCAUCAAGUGAAAUUGACGCAUUUCAUGAAUAUACGAAGAUUGCAUCUCCGUAUAUCGAUCUAUCAUUCGGGUCAUCAAAUGACCAUCCCUCACCAACGGUUCCGGCUCAAACGGUUCUCCAUUUGGCCCCAUGGGCCUUUCAUAAAUCCGUGUCAAAGCCGUGUUCAUUGGAUCCGGUUCGUAGACCUCUAAAGCAUCAUAAUCGUACUCAUCCUCCACAAUCAUAUUAUGGAGGAUGAUGCAAGUCAUCAUAAUGCUUCUGAGGAUCUCCUCAUCAAACAUGCGGGCCGCACCUCGAAUAAUCAACCACCUGGCUUGAAGGAUGCCAAAACACCUUUCGACAUCUUUCCUGUAUCCCUCUUGAUAUGUAGCAAAUAAUUUUUGCUUCUGGGAUCGGGGAUUUGGAAUGGUUUUGACAAAAGUCGUCCACCUCGGGUAGAUUCCAUCAGCUAGGUAGUAUCCUGUCUGGUAUACUGUAUUGUUGACUUCAUAGGUGACAUUGGGGCCCUGACCUCUCAAUACAUCGUUGAAGACGGGGGAUUGACCCAGCACGUUGAGGUCAUUUUGUGAUCCUGCAACUCCGAAGAAGGCAUGCCAAACCCAUGUGUCGAAACCAGCAACCGCUUCAAGGAUGAUACUUUUUUGGCCUUUUCGAUUUCCAUAAUCACCUUGCCAGGCAGUUGGGCAAUUCUUCCAUUGCCAAUGCAUGCAGUCGAUGCUACCAAUCAUUCCAGGGAAUCCUCGAGCUUCGGCUUUUUGCAGAAGCCUUUGGAGGUCCCUGGGAGUAGGUCUACGCAGGUAGUCUCUAGUGUACAGAGUUUCAACAGCUUGACAAAAUCUUACCAAAGCCUCCAACGUAGUGGACUUCCCCAUCCGGGCAUCCACCUGAUCAGCAGAUGCUCCAUACGCCAACAUUCGUAUAACAGCUGUAAGCUUUUGCUCCGGAAGAAGCCCCAAAACCCCAGCAGCAUCACACUUUUGAACAAAGUAUGCAUCAUAAUUGCAAAUAUCAUGCAUGACUUUAUUGAACAAAUAAGGUUGCAUUCUAAAUCGCCUUCGAAAAUCAACAUCAGAGUACAAAGAAGUUGGGAUAAAAUAAUCUUCCAAAAGAUUCUUACCCCUAGAAUGCCUAUGUCUUUCCACAUUCCGGCGGCGGCCGGCUUGUGAACUAUGGCGGCGACCUAGGUUCUCUUCUUCUUCCAAAGCCACUGUUAUGAGAACUUGCUCAUCGACUUGUCUCUGCAACUCAUUGACUUCAUCUGCUCUACGGUUUCUCUCUCUUCUUUCUCUCUCUUGUCUCUCCAAGCAUCUCCUAAAUUCUUCCAUUCAGAAUGAAUGAAGUAUGAAUUAUAAACUCUCAGAAAUGAAAAUAUAGAAAGAUGUGGUGUGAGAGGUAUGAGCUGAGACUCUGGUUUUAUAGAAAAAUUUGGCAAGAUAGACAUGCCAUGUGGCUUGAUUUUAUUGGAUGAAAAUCAUAUCUGAAAUUUGAAAUUCAUCCGAAAUUUGAACCCUAAUUUGUAUGAAAUUCAAAAUUUGAAAUUCAUCCGAAAUUUGAACCCAAAUUUAUCUGAAAUUUGAACCCAAAUUUAUCUGAAAUUUGAAUUUUGAAAUUCAUUCAAAAUUUGAACCCAAAAAUUUAUCUGAAAUUUGAACUUUGAAAUUAAUCCGAAAUUUGAAUCCAAAUAUCUUAUCCGAAAAUUUUAUCUGAUUAUGAAUAGUCUUGACACGUAGGAAUCCGAAAAUCUUAUCUGAAAAUAUUACCCAAAUUAAUUAUUUUCAUUAAAAAAUAGGAGGAAAAAACAAAAAAGUGAAUAGUAAUUGCCAUGGCUAAGGGCAACGGGUGGAGAAACGAUUUACUAUUUGCAAGGGCAACCACUAUUCACGUGAAUAGUGCUUGCCCUAGCUCCACCCUUGCCAUGGCUAAGGGCAAAUGGGUGGAGUUGCUCUAAGACAAUCAACCAAAAAAUAAAAAUUUACGUUAUUCUUAAAAUCCAUCCGAAUGAGAGCUAAAGGUAAAAUCAUAAAACACAAAUAUAUGACACAUGAAAUAUAAAUUACUUAUAUAUAUAUAUAUAUAUAUAUAUAUAAAGAUAAACAGUUUAAGAAUGUUAUGGUUAGUUAAUCGUUUACGUUUGUGAAUUUAUUAUGAUAAAUCAACAAUUAAGAUCAAACUAUUAAUGCACUUACUCACAUACAUUUUUCAUUAGAUCGAUCGACUCACAUGCUUGUGGGAUUGAUGGGAUAUAACUUUUCAGACACAAUACCUAAUUUAGAUGGAUAAUAGUGUGGUGUUUGUAAGGGAUACUUUCUCCAUAGUUGAGUAUUGGCUUUUCCGGCCAUGCAUAUAGUGUCCAUAAUUAAAAUUUUAACAAUUUUAUGUUUGGUGUGUUGCGGGAAUAUAAAUAGCUUGAUUUGAUUCUUAACCAAAUUUUACAUGGAUGAUUAUGUUUGUUUCAAGACACACACACAAACUUUGAAUUGGAGCACGUAUAAUGAAGCUUUCAAUUGGUGGAGACAAAUAAUUCAUUUCUCCCUAACAAAAUAAAGAGAUUGAAAAUGACAACAUUCUCAACCAUGCAUGACAAACAUGUUUUAUAAUCAUACCUCAACUAAUUUUGACUAUCUUUUUAACAUCAAGAGAUAGUCAAAAUUAGUUGAGAUGUUUGCAAUGAAUUGAUAUGUGAUCUUCUUUAAAUAAUAAUAAUAAUAAUAAUAAGUGAUAAAACGUGAAAUUGCCCUACGUCAAUUCACAUCCAAAUUAAAGGUGUUGUUGAUCUAUGAACAUUUUGUUUAUUUAUUGAAGAAAAAAUUGAAUUUGAAACCUCUUUUAAUAUUGUAAAAUACAAAAGUAGUUAGUAAAAUUUGAUUAUUUAUUUUUAAAAAUUUUAAUUUUGGUCAUAAGACGAAUGAAAAAAAGGCCUCAUCAUUAUUUUUGACAUUAGAUUAUAAAAUAAUUACAAAAAAAAGGGUAUUUGUGGCCAAUUUGGCAUUACUGUGCUGUGAAAAUAAUCGUUGUCAAAUUUGAUGUGACAGAAAUCAGUUGAUAGAGAAAGCAAUAUGGCAUUUGGUAAACUUUUUGUUAAAAGUGUUAUUGGUACUAAUUCUCGCAUAAUAAUAAAAUAAUUCCUAUAUAAUCAUUAAACUCAGCGCCUCUUCGAAAUUGAUUCCUUCAUAAUCAAAAAAUGAAAGCACAUCAUUAGCUGCUUUCCCUUAGCUUUCUCUCACAACAAUUUUAACAAUAAGUGAUUUUCUCAUAGUUUACCAAACGGGCUGAGUUUUCCACAAUUUUUAAAAAUCAAUUAUACUCAAAAUAAGCAAUGCCAAACUGGCCCUACCUAUGCUGUGAAAAUAAUUUCUGUCAGAUUUGCUGUAAGAGAAAUCAGCUGUGAGAUAAAGCAGUUUAGCGUUUGGUAAACUUUUUGUUAAAAGUAUUGUUGGCAUUGAUUCUAGUAUAAUCAGAAAAUGAUUCUAGUAUAAUCAGAAAAUGAUUCCCGUAUAAUCAUUAAACACAGCGCAUUUUCAAAACUGAUUCUCGAAUAAUCAGAAAAUGAUUCUAGUAUAAUCAGAAAAUGAUUCCCGUAUAAUCAUUAAACACAGCGCAUUUUCAAAACUGAUUCUCGAAUAAUCAGAAAAUGAAAGCACCUUAUUAGCUGCUUUCCCUUAUAGCUUUAUUUUACUGUAAUUUUUAAUAAUAAAUGAUUUUAUCAUAAUUUACCAAACGGAUGAGCUUCCCAAUUUUUUUUUUAAAAUCACUUCUCGUAGUCUGUACGAAGAAAAGAACCAAACGCAUCGUUUGAUUCUAAGGUUUCCCAACGUUUAAUACAAGGGAAAGGCUUGGUGUGGGAAAUGCGAAGAUGACGCUGGUUCUUAACCUAAUCCCGCCAUCCCAAAUCCUACUUCACUCGUCGUCGUCUCAUCCACUGCCAACUACUAGUUCCCGUCAAAAUGAAACAACCCAAGAUUGGACUGCUCUGCUGUUCAAGCUCAAAUGCCGCGGCAGGUUCUCUUGCCUUUUCUCAGAUAAUCGCAAAGAGGUCCUAAAAUUCGUAAUUUGAACUCAGUUUCUCUUCUUUUGUUGCGUGCUUUUCCUAUUUUAUGUUAUGCUACGAAAUGAAAAUUUUCAUGUUUCAAAUUUGUCAAGAGAUGAAAAAUAACCCAAGUUCCUCGUUUGGCAGCUCAAUAUGUGGGUAUAUGUAUAUUGAGAUAAAUUGAGCAAUUAGGUUUAACUGGGCAUGUAGUGUUGGUAGGCAAUAAAUUCUUUGUCUCCACUUCGCCUUGUGCUGUUUGGAGAUUUGCAUAAUCACUUAAGUAGGGUGUGUAAUGCUUCAUUUGAAGUUCGAAUUUAUCAAAAAAUUGUUCAUUCUUUAAAUGCUUCAGGAAAGUGAGUUUUAGGAGCUUCACACAUUCGCCCAUUGUUUUGAAUUUUGAAUUACAGUAGAGUAUUUUGUAGUUUGAGCGUUCAAUGUGUUGGAGAAUUUACUUCUUACAAGUAUAAAAUGUGGAUUAUUUGAUUUGUAGAUAAGAAUACAGAUGAAUAUUAGGCAGUUGAUCCUUCUAGAAGAAUACUUGGGUACAUGCCGGUUUACUGUUGGAUUCUCUCUCUUUCGUAAUUUGCUGAGCAUUUUUUUUCCUUCAUGGAGUUAAAAGCUGCACACAGAAGGUAGUUCUACUAAGCUUGCACAAAAGCCUUAUCCAAACAAUUGGAGCAAACAACUUUGGUUUUGCCUGAUAAUACCUUUACGGUUCACUAAAGGUUAUGGAUAUGAUAGUAGUAUAGUUGUCAUUGAACAUAAUCAGUCGUUCUAGGUAUAGGACCAAUAUAAGGUCUAACUUGACACAUGCACAUCAGCAUUAGGACAGAUACCAAUAUCUAUCAGAUAUAGUUGUUGAGCAUAGGAGUUCGUUUGGUCUCUCGGCCCCUCAUUUCAUCUGAUUUUAUUGAAUGCAGAAUGCCAUGAUAUAGUUUAGAUGCUGGUUUCUUUUGCGCAGAUGAAUUUAACUUUGCCAUUUCUAUCGUUCUUCUAGGAGCAAGCCAGGAAAGCAUUAGAAGGUGCACUUGGUGGGAAAAAAAGUGAAUUUGAGAAAUGGGACAAAGAAAUUAAGAGAAGAGAGGAGGUGGGUGGAGGCGGUAGUGCUGGUGGAGGGGGAUGGUUUGGGUGGCGUGGAUGGUUUGGAUGGUCGAAUGGUGACCAUUUCUGGCGAGAAGCACAACAAGCAAGUCUUGCUGUGUUGGGUAUUAUCCUGAUGGUAAGCAUUUCCUUGUUUCUUUUCUAAAUUCAGCUGAAUACCAUCAUGUUGUAAAUAUAUACUCUCUCUCUCUCUCAUGAUCUUAUUCUUUAUUUUUUAGUAUCUCAUAAUUGCAAAGGGAGAACUGAUGCUUGCUGUCAUCUUCAAUCCGUUAUUGUAUGCCUUGCGAGGGACAAGAAAUGUGUUCGCUUUCAUAACUUCUAAAAUCUUAAGGAAGAGAGGACCAGAUGGUCAGGUUGUUUUUGAUAAUAUCUCGAAGAAUGAAGCCUACAGUAGUGUCUCUGCUAAAGACAGUGUUCUGAGAAAAUGGGGAAGUGCGUGAUAAUUUUGUUUCAGGUUUGAGAUCACUCGCAGCAUGCAUUGAGAAUUUGGCCACUAUUUUUGUAUCCUAUGUUUUUUGUAUCUGAAGUCCAGGAUGUGUUUGAAUUGCCUCAAUGCCCAACCUGUUAUCAACCUAGGAUUUUUGUAUGCUAGCCUUACAAUCCCUAGCAUUCUCAAUGGAACUUUUGACUGCACAUAAAUUGUUAUUUGAUUGACGGAGUUUCAACCUCGUAUGUAGACAGUAUAAUGAAUCAGUCCAUUUUACUUUUCGAUGAUUUUUGGAUGCAUAGGUUGGUUUUUAUUAUGGACACAUAAUCAAACUCCCCUUGUAAAAACAGACAAAAAUUGUCCAUAUCUUUGUGUAUUUGUUAGCAUUGUCAACAUUUUUUAACCUAUUGACUGUAGUCUUUUCUCCUUUAUUAUUAUUUCUCUUAAUAAGAAAAAAAGGAAAAAUGAAAAUGGGCAUGGUAAAUUUGCAGCCAUCAGAUUUUAAUGUUCUGUCCAGAUUUAGGCACAGAAGUUUGGAUAAUUUAGGAUGCACGAAAUUUUGGCCCUAUAGUAGUUUUGAACUGUUGAUUUCUGAACGGUAAUUUACAACUUGUGCAUUCAAAUUUUGAAUCAUAUGAAAUUCCAAAAAUGUCGUGGUCUCCGCCAUGAAUGUUGAUAAUGAGAGCUGAAAUUAAGCCAUCGUCGUCACGUCAAUAGCGUAUGAGAUAGUUGUAUGCAUCAAAACUUUAAAAGGUUCUGGGCUUGAACUGACCAUCACCAUGCGUAAAUUGGGUUAGUCUGGUUGGCUGAUUUCACAAUCAUCUGAGCUGUAUUUCCUACUAUGAACAACCUAGCAACACUUAAUGUUUGACAGCAGACAGCCACAACUGUUACGACACUAACAGCAAUGAAGUGGGGAAAUUCGAACUUGGGACUUAUUUCGAUAUUAAGAAGAGAAGUACCGCUAGAUAAAGAGUUAGUUGAUCAAUAGAGAUAUUACAAUUUACAAGGGUGUUGAUAAUUGGCCUAAUAUAAACCAUUGACCAAAACUUCUAUAAUAGGGUGCAAUAAUAAUGCUAUCAUUGCUGGACUCCUCGACAUUGGAUUGUUUAAUUAUUUUUGGUAGUUUCAAUUUGAAAUAAUAUCGUACCAAAGAAAUUAGAAUGCAUCAUCAAAGCUUCACCACCAACCAAAUUAAUUGAAAAUACAUGUCAUGCAUACAUGUUAUGUUAUCUGGAAAUGCUCUGCCUUUGAAUUUUAUAUAGCAUUGUGGUUGUGGAGCUCUAUAGUGGAAACAUUCAGAUGCUUAAGACUCAUAAACCCUCACCUUUUAUGUUCAUUUUUCUUCUUCUUCAUGUUUUACCAGAAGCUACAAUUUUGGGAGGUCGUGAGCAGAGAGAAGAGAGCAGAGAGCAGAGCAUGGUUAAAAGAAAGAUAAAAACCCAUAAGAAGGGGUCAAGGUGCAGCUUUGGUCCACCCAAUCUUUAGGCUAGGCUGUCUCAUCUGAUGUGUUUGUUUCUGAGUUUUCAAACUAAAUUGAAAGAAAAGCCUCCUCGAAUCUUGGUCUUCGUGGAACCUAGUGCAGCAAGAGUGACCCUCACGAUCUCGCCACCCGUUUCUUUCUCUCUCUCUCUUCUUUUUUCUUCCAUGGAAAAGACUCAAUUUCGGAUCACCACACGACCUUUUCCUCUCUGCUUGAACUCUGCCUAAACAGUCCCUUCUCUCUGUCUCCUCUUUUUUUCUGUUGCUGUCUUUUUCUUGCUGCAAGUUUUAUCCUUGUUGGGUUUUCUUGGUUUUCUGUUUAGCUUUCUUUCUGGGUUUCUUUGACCCAAUUAGUCUUUCUUUCCUUCCUUUCUUGUUAUACUCAAAUUCACUCAUUUUUUAUUGGGCUCUCUCAUUUUUUGUUGUUUUCUCACAGAGAUUCUUCUUCCAAGUGGAUUUGCCGUGUUCUUUUGCUUUUUGCCAUUUUGUUCUGGUUUUUACUUGCAUUUAUACUUGGUCAUUGGGUCUACAUUCUCUGUGCCAUUUUAUCUUUCUUUUUUGUUGGGUUGAUGGGCUGUUGAUGUCUUUGGCUGUUGGAGUGAAUUCAAGUUCCAAAAACAUGGGUUUGGAUGAUGAGACUGGCGCUGAAGUUUCAGAAGCAAAGACAGCUAAAACGGCUACUGACGUGGAUCAAUCAUCCACAGGGUUGGUUAGAGAACCGAGUGAGAGUUCCAUGUACGUAACUGAGGAUGAUGAUGACGAUGAUGAAGUAAAGAAAAUUGAGUUGGGUCCUCAGUGCACUCUCAAAGAACACAUUGAGAAGGAUAAGGUUUGAUUUUCAAUUCUUCUUUCUUUUCAUAAUUUGUUCUCCUUUGUCCCUCUCUUUCUAAUGGCCUUCUAGUUUUAUAUCUGUGUAAUGUUGUUUGUUUUGGUGAUCAUUUGAGGUUUUAGGACGAUGAGAGCUUAAGGAGGUGGAAGGAACAGCUUCUUGGGAGUGUGGAUGUUAAUUCUGUUGGAGGUAAGCAUUGUAACGAGCCAAAUGCUUUUGCUUUGAAGUUCGUUUUGUCAGUGAAAAAAUGGAACAGAAAAAAUGUUUAAACUUUGAAUUUUCCCCUUCAUUUCACUGCUGAGGUUCAAAAACUUUAGUUCUGUCACUUGCAGAAGGCAUGCGAAAGUACUUUCUAUCAACUAAAAUCCUAUUCUCUCUUGCAAUAUAUAUAUAUAUAUAUAUAUAUUUAUCUUGUCACUUGGUAAGAGUUCUAUUGCGAAUCAGAGGUCAAACUUGUUCUAUGCUCUGAAAAGCUUUUGUUUUUUGGUAAAUUUGGCCCUCAUGCCUCAUCUUGUUGUCAUAAGUCUUGUCAUACCAGAAAUCGCAUGCAGUUUCUCCUAAUUAAAGUUGAAUCUUCGGAAUUUAGAAGCGAUUUUGUUUGCAUGCUUCUACUUUAUAUCUUAGCAGUUUAUUGGUGUAUCUUCAACGUUCAGUACAAUAGAUAUUUGUACUGUUUCAUUUCUCCCUGAGUGUUCCUUGUUUCUCUGUUUUUCUGUAGAAACUCUAGAACCAGAUGUUAAGAUCCUGAGCCUUGCAAUUAAAUCCCCUGAUAGAUCUGACAUAGUUCUUCCUAUUCCUGAGAAUGGAAAUCCCAAGGGCUUGUGGUUUACUUUGAAAGAAGGUAGCCGUUACAGCCUUCAGUUCACUUUCCAGGUCAGCAAUAACAUUGUUUCAGGUCUCAAAUACACUAACGCAGUCUGGAAAACUGCUGUAAAAGGUACUUUCUCUCUCUCUCUCUCUCUCAUUCAAAUUAUGUAACAGGAUAGAUUAGCCUUAUAAUGAAGCUGGGAUUGGAUGUUUUCCUUCUUACGUACGGAUCCUUUUUGCAGUUGAUAGCACAAAAGAGAUGCUCGGAACCUUUAGCCCACAGUCAGAGCCUUACACACAUGUGUUGCCUGAGGACACAACCCCAUCUGGCAUAUUUGCAAGGGGAUCUUAUUCAGCUAGAAGCAAGGUAAGUUAAUCCAGUGCUUGAUGUUAAUUUCCACUCAGAUUAGGCCAUACAAUUCGAGAGAAAGCGGUAUAUGCCCAUAAACUGAUAGAUUUGUUACAUACACAACCAUCAUGCAUCUGUUCAUAUAUUUUUCGUUCUGUUGAUAUUAAUGUUAUAACCUGAGUUAUCUGCUAAUUGCAUCCCAUGAAUGAUUGUGUGCAUGAUGAACUUCAGAUUUCAAAUUCAACCUCAGAUUUCUAUCUAAUUUUCUAAUAAAUAAAUAGCUUCAAGUUUUGGAUUUAGUCUCAUCUUGUGAUUUCCUUUUUCUUUGUGGUCCAGUUUGUUGAUGAUGACAACAAGUGCUACUUGGAGAUCAAUUACACCUUUGACAUUCGGAAAGACUGGCAAUCGGUGUAAAACAACUGCAGUUUUGUUUUGUUUGUAGUAACAGUCCAUUGUUUUUCAAGCUGAGAGAUCUGCUUCAUUGUGAACAUGUCAAAAAAAUUCGAAUGCCUUGUUUAUGUUUCAAACUUCUUAAACAACGAGGAGAAGGAGAGGAUCCUUUGAAAAAGAGAGGGGAAGGGGGGGAAGUAGAAAAGAAUGGUUAAUUCUUUUGGUAGGUAUUUGGUUAAUAAAUUGAGCUUUUGUUGUUUAAUAGAACACUCUCUUUCUCUGGGAUUAUUGUUUAUGUGAUGUUAAUUGAAGCUUGCUCUUACUCAAGUGGCUUGACCAUUUUAAUUAUUCCUGUGGGGGGCAAAGGACACCUUUAAAGCUGAAAAGCAGUGCAGGGUUUCUUACUUACAGCCCUUUCCAUGUUAAUUUUGACCCCUUUUUUCUUUUCUUUGGUCGCUUCUCCUCCGUUGACGCACGCUACCCCUCUCUCACAACCCCCUCAUUAUAGCAUUUCCGUGUUCCAUCAUAAUCAUAUGGCCUUUUCAAGACAAGCUACUUAAAAAUCAUCUUGGCCAGACACAAUAAAAGAACAUUAUUCACCCGAAAAAAUAAAAUAAAAUUCCAAGAUCAAUAUUAGAGCAAAGGCAAAGAUAAGCAAAUGGAUCUUGAAGUGGACUUUUCUAGUGAAAAUAUAAGCAAAAUACUGUAAUCUUUCAUUAUUCUUUCGCAAUUUUUUAUGCACAAUAUUACCCAACUUUAAAAUAUGUUACCGAAAUAAUACUCACUCUAGUCUUUGAUCCGUUGAUGGUAAUUCAUCUAGCAAGUCAUAUGCUUUUAUUUUAUUUUCAAGAAAUUAUAAAAUUGGUAAAUGUUUUAGCAAUAAAUAAAUAAAUAAAUAAAGUAAAUGGGCCCAGAUAUUUGUAUUUUGGGCCUAAUAAGUAUGAGGCCCAAUUUAAGGUAAGAUGGUUGUGCAAGGCCUAAUCUGUAAGCCUUCCUUUCUUGGUCUCAUCUCCUAUGACUCUCUUUUCCAGUUUUGCUUUGAAGGAUCGAAAGGCGCUCUGUUACUUCUCCAAACUGCAAAACACCAUACUGAUCCAGGUAAUUCUACCCCCUUCACCGAGCUGAUUUUAUAUGCAUUUUCAAAUCACGAGCUAUUUCCAAGAUAGCUUCAAAUUAUUUCGGACGCGAAAACGAAGCAAAAUCCUAACACAUAUAACAUUACACUGUUUUUUGCUCUCACUUUCCCGCGUUUUCUCGGUAACCAAACGGAGCAUUAUUCUUUUUCCUUGCUCUUAAAACUCGGAAUAUAAUAAUUAAGUUUUCAGUCAACUAUUUUCUUGCGUUUGUUAUCUUUUACAGGUUUCUACUCUAGAACUGUUUUCUCUCUUUCUAUUGACGGCUGAGUUAUAUGCUUCUAGGGUUUCCGAGAUUCUUCCCUAAUUUGAGAAUCGUUUGAAGAAUUGAGUGACGCUCAGUUGGCGUAAGCUCCGGUAUUAUUGUAGAAACAGUGAGAUUUGAGCUGGGUCAAGAGAAUGAACUAUAAGAGGGAACAUGAAGAUGAUGCUAGAGUGAACGCGGAAGGGUUUGAAUCUGACCCAAAGAGGCAAAAACGGAAUGGGCAUUCAUCUCCUUCCUCUUCACCACCUCCACCUGCCUCUGAAGGCUCCCUUCUUCCUGGUUUUAAUUACGGCGAUGAGGAUGACGAGGACAACCAGAGAAGGCCACCUGUUGAUGGCUAUAGAGGGGAUGGUGGCGAUAAUCAAAGGGAUAUAAAAAGUGGGGUUGAAGUUGAAGAAGAAGAAGAAGAUGAUGAUGAUGAUGAUCUUGAACAAGGACUUUACAGGCGGAGCCGUGAAAUUGAGGUUAGGAGGGAUUGUCCUUAUCUUGACGCUGUUAAUCGCCAGGUAUAUUACUAUUCUAAGUUGUUACAAUAUGGCAUUCCAGCUUGUCUGUAUAUUAUGCUUACAAAAGCAUCCACUGUUUUGAUACUGAUUGCUUGAUUUUGCUUUCACCAGGUUUUGGAUUUUGAUUUUGAGAAGUUUUGUUCUCUGUCUCUGUCAAAUUUGAAUGUGUAUGCAUGUUUAGUUUGUGGGAAGUAUUACCAAGGAAGAGGGAAGAAGUCCCAUGCAUAUACACAUAGCCUUGAAGCUGGACACCAUGUUUAUAUCAAUCUUCGAACGGAGAAAGUAUAUUGCCUUCCGGAUGGAUAUGAAAUCAGUGACCCGUCAUUGGAUGACAUUAGACAUGUCCUGAACCCAAGGUUUGAUUUGUAUUGUUUAUAUUUCUAGUCUUCCUUGGGUAUCCUUUUAAGGAUUUGAAUUCAUUUGGUUCUUUAUAUGCAGGUUUACUGAGGAACAAGUGGAGCAGAUUGACAAAAACAAGCAAUGGUCUAGGGCACUUGAUGGUUCUGAUUACCUUCCUGGAAUGGUACUGAUUUUUGGUCUUACUUGCAUAAGAUUCCAUAUAUGCUUCUAUUGCUGCUGUUGUCAAUUCAUAUGAGUUCGAUAUUAUGUUUCAAAUUCCUAAUUGGCUUGGUCAAUACUAUAGAUUUCCUAUUUAAGUUACUCGGGACAGAAGAAUCUUUAUUCCUUGCCAAAUAAGUAAUGAGCUAAUAUAUUAUGUGGCUGGCCAACAAUUAGACUUACGAUAGAGUUGUUUCACAGUUUUCAUAGAUUUGUGUGGGAGUAUACCAGUAAGCAUGAUUUCAGCACUUAGGUAGUAUGGUUUUUGGUUUACUGCAGUAUUCUCACGUCUUUGUAAUUCUCUAUGUUUUUUUAGAUUCUUUCUCAUCUGUAAGGUUAGACAAGCCUAUGUUGAACAACAUUUACUGUCUUUUCAUGUGUUUGAGGGAGAUAUAUUUUGUGAUUGAUCUCUCUGAUGGAUACACUUCCAUAACAACUUACGUCUUAACAAUUUCUAGCGACGUGUUAAUUUUGGGUCCUAAUUAUUGUUACCUGUGUUUUCUUAAUUUUCAAAAAACAGGUGGGGCUCAAUAACAUUAAGGAGACUGAUUUUGUCAAUGUCACAAUUCAAUCUUUAAUGAGAGUCACUCCACUAAGAAACUUCUUCCUCAUCCCUAAGAAUUAUCAACAUUGCAAGUCUCCGCUUGUUCAUCGAUUUGGGGAGCUCACGAGAAAGAUAUGGCAUGCACGGAACUUCAAAGGACAGGUUUGACCUUGUUGACUCCAUAUUUUGGUCUCUAGGUAUUGUUGUUAAGAAUAGUUCACAUGUGUCAAAUCUUUAAUGUCUACAGGUGAGCCCACAUGAGUUCCUGCAGGCAGUGAUGAAAGCCAGUAAGAAACGGUUUCGAAUAGGAGCGCAAUCUGACCCAGUUGAAUUCAUGUCAUGGCUGCUUAAUACACUGCAUGCAGAUCUUAGAACUUCGAAGAAAGAUAGCAGCAUCAUCUAUGAGUGCUUUCAGGUUUUCUUUCUUAUUCUUUAUCUACUUUGUUUGUUGUAUUGCUGUUGCUGCAACUUAACUGGCAGUAUUUUUUAGACUAAAUAUAAUGUUCUGUGCUGAUAGGGGGAACUGGAGGUUGUGAAGGAGAUUCCUAAGAAAGGUAUUGAGAAGAAAGAAAAUGGUGAUGACCAGAAUACAGAUGUUGUGACUGAAAAUAAUGGCAUUGUCAAGGAAAGGUACAAAAUGCCUUUCUUAAUGCUUGGAUUGGAUUUGCCCCCACCACCUCUUUUCAAAGAUGUUAUGGAAAAAAAUAUCAUUCCCCAGGUACAUAUGUCUAAUUAGUGAGUUGGAAGUUCAUUCUUUAAUUGCCUUUUUUUAUUGGUUUUAAUGUCUUUCUCAUAAUUUCCAUGUCUAUGUUUCUGAAUAAAAACAUGUUGGAAUUUGCUUCAAUUACAUACAUUGCCUCUAUGUUCGCAACUUGUGGACUAGGUAACUAGAUUGCUUUGGGGAGUCUAUGUAAUUAUAUAUCUUAGGUAGUGACAAAUGUGUAGACUGUUAAGAUGGAUAUGUUCCUUAUUUUUAUUAGUCUGUAUGGAGGCUAGUUGAUUUUUUAUUAUCUAAAUAUGGGGGGUUCAGUCUGUCUUUGUGCUUCUAUUCUAUAAUGUAUAUAGUUACUCAAGGUCUAGUUGCAAAUUAGAAACACAGCAACUGUUCUUUGUUCCAGGCAUUUUGGUUCUCCAUUUUUCUUGAAUAUUAAACUGAGCCCUGAAUGAUGCAAAAGCAUGCCCUUUACUUUAUGCAUGUCUCAUCAGUCUUGCAUUGUGCGUUGUUUAAAUGUUUAUAGCAUACCUAUGCUAUCACUACACCUUAUUCCAGAAAUAGUAUGUGGGGAAGAGAGAAUUGAUGAUGAGAAUUUUUUGAGUUUUAUUUUUAAAAUGUUUUUAUAUUAUUUUUUAAAGCUUGUGCGUUAUGGUUUAGGUUCCACUGUUCAAUAUUUUGAAGAAAUUUGAUGGGGAGACUGUGACUGAAGUGGUCCGACCUCGCAUAGCAAGGAUGAGGUAUCGAGUCACCCGAUUACCGCAGUAUCUUAUUCUCCACAUGCAGCGAUUUACCAAGAACAACUUCUUUGUGGAAAAGAAUCCGACUUUAGGUGUGAUUAUAUGUUUCUGGAAUUAUUUUUAUUUGAAUAAUCAUUUAACGCCUAUAGUGUGCCAUGGAUCCUUGCCUGAUCAACUGCAACCUUUUGCCAACUGAUGUAAUUCCUAUUGCAGUCAACUUUCCUGUGAAGAACCUUGAAUUGAAAGACUACAUCCCCUUGUCAACCCCCAAAGAGAAUGAGAGAUUGCGUUCAAAGUAUGAUUUGAUCGCCAACAUUGUUCAUGAUGGCAAACCUGGUGAAGGUUCAUACAGGGUAUUUGUGCAGAGAAAGUCAGAAGAAUUAUGGUGAGUCUAUUCCAUACUUAUUGGCAUAAAUGUAAACUAACAGAAAAUGGAACUGUAUGUAUGGGCUAACAUCUGUAAACGUUUUCAGGUAUGAGAUGCAGGAUCUUCAUGUUUCAGAGACACUUCCCCAGAUGGUUGCCCUUUCUGAGACUUAUAUGCAGAUAUACGAGCAGCAGCAGUAAGCUUGGGAUAGUUUCAAGUGCCAUGGUUGACGGCUUAGGUGGUUUUUAAGCCUAUUAUGGGAGUCGAGUGGUUUCAUACACGAGGAAAACAAGAGGGGAAACAUUUUGAGGUGGCAUUUGCCUGAGUUUGUGAGUUUUAUGGUUCCAUGUAUUCUGUAAGUUGUUAGUUUUGACCAAAUUUUGACAGUGAAGUAAUUGAUAUUAUAUGUUUACCCAAAGAAAAAACCAUCCGUGCUGUAGAGUAGGCAGAUGUAAAGUGCUGAAGGUAUGUAGCAAACUGUUUGAUAAUGAUCUCUGCUCUAAAUGUCCAACCUAUAAUUUUUUAGUAAAUUUAAGUUUUAGCCACAAAAAAACUUUCACUUUUGAAAAAAAAUCAAUUUUUUUUUGUUUUUUCUAAAAAAGACAAAAAAAAACCCUCAAUUGCUUUAGGAAAUGUAAAAGGUUUUUUAGGAAAUUCAAAAAUAAUAAGAGUAUUUUUGUCCAUUUUAAUUUCUUUAAAAAAUAUUUCUUCUCCUAUGACCUUUUUCAAAAUGUCCCUAAUAUUUUUUCUUUUUUUUCGUCUUUUCGGUACUAUGAUUGGGUUGAUUAUUCAUUCAUAUAGCUUUUAGGUCUGAUUGCCAUAAAAUUCAAUUGCUUUAGUCAUGUGCUGUCAGCUGACAGAUUGCUGAGGGCUGACAUUAACAUUAGAUUAUUCACUAAACAAACAUAAUUUGCAAGUGGUGUUGUCACAAAUUUAAUAAUUGCAAGACUUAUUAGGACACAUACGUUUGGUUUGAUUAGCUCCCCAGUUCACCUGGUUAAUUAAUUAAGUCAGUCCAAGUUCCAAUCAUGGGUGCCUGCCGGUGAAGGUUCCAUGUUUUCUUAGAACUUUCAGGGAGGAUAAUUUUGAACUUUGAAUUUUUCCCUAUUAGAAUAAUUAAGGCCUACUUCCAUCACAUUCAAUGAUGCAUUGUUGUCGCUAUUAGUGGCGCCACCAUGUUCUUUUCUGAUAACUUUUUUUUUUUUUUUUAUACGCCUUUCUGAGAACAGUGAAACCAACUUGCAUUGCAUCAAAAGAAGAAAAUAAUUAAAAUAAAAAGUAACGACUACUUUGAUUAACUUAACUUGAGAAUGUAGCCGAUUGAUUGAAUAGUUCUCUAUCAUGUUUUUGCAUGUUCAUUUAGAAAAGUGUUAAAGUUGUUGUAUGUAAUGUAACUGCAAAAUAAUGUCAACAGUCAGAGGUGGACUCAUUAAGGCCCAAUGAGAUGUAGCUGCACUUUUUUUCGUCGAAAAAAUUAUUGUAAGUACUUCAAAUUACCUAUUUACUCAACUGAUGUAUAUAUUAUCUUAUUUUCAUUUUCAACAUUUAAAUAAAUGUUUUUGUCCUUUUACUUUAAUUUAUUUUUGUAUUACUCAAUUUACUAAAGUUUACAAUGUAAAUAAGGAAGUAUCCUCCAUUUGAAUUCAAAUAAAAAUACUAUAAAAUCAAAUUCCCACCUAAUUAAAAUAUGAAAAAUUAAUUUUAGUGCAAAAUACAAUUUAGGCUAAAAAUAAUGGCUUAUUAAGUCAAUAUAUACUUCAUACUAAAAUCUCAUAAAAUCAAGUUUUCUUAUUUGAUGUGUAAGAAAUAAAAGCCGCCAAAAAUUAUCUUAAGAAAAUGAUUAUUCUGAAAAACAAUUUUUCAUACUUAGUCAAUUUUGCACUUCCGUUAAAAAAUUUCUGAGUCCGCCAGUGUCUACUGCUACGACUAAGUCUUCUGCUACUACCAGUUGCUUCUGCUUGUGUUCAUGGCUCUAGAUGCAAAAGCACGACCGGCAUUCUUGAAAAACGCGCCAACAGCCGCGUACUCCCCCAGAGCCCUCACGUCAGCAUUACACCGCAGCAGCGGAGGAAAGAAGAGCCAAAACACGGUUCCCGUCACGAACGCAACGGUCAAAGGCCCAGACACCAACCUCGGCACCUGAAACUUCUUCCGUUUAGCAAUCGCCUUCUUGACGGCGAUCUCAACCACCAAACACAGCCCGUGGAGGAGGAAGAACCACGAGAUCUCCCACGUGGGCGGUAGCCGCCCCAGGUAGUAGAAUAUGAGCUCGUGCAUAAUUGCCGACACUAUGAAGGUCCCCAUCACGGCAGGGAGCGGGGCCCACCUGCGCCCUACCACCCGUGUCGAAAGCGCGACGACGGGUUCGUACACGGUGGGGCGCAGGAUGCUGGUGACCAUAAUGUUCCAUCGUCUGCCCCAGAAGUCUUGGAGGGAGGAGGAGAGGUAGGGCUCGUUGAAUUGGGGCUCGAGCUCAAGUCCCAGAAGGGCUCGAGCCAGCGCGGCAGCCAUGAGGAGGAUGAUUUCUAGGGCAAAAUAUAUGUGGAAGCAAUACAUGACCCAUAUCAGGUUUGGAUGGAGGUGCUCUUUGUAGUCAUAUACCUUUAUCAACAGAGCCAAGAGCAGGCCUUUGAGUGCGUAGUUCAACGGGGAUUUCGGAGCUGGGUUUUGUUUUGUUGUUGCAUGCCCAUUUGUGUUUGAGUUGUGGCCAUUUUGAUGAUUUGAGGUUUGGAAUUGGGGUGUUUUUGGAGGUGGGUUUUGUUGGAUCUUGAUGGGUAAACAAGCGACGGCUACAAAACGGGGAAGAGAGAUUGAAGGGUCGGAGCACAGAGGGCCUUUCCCAAAGGCGAAGAGCAAGAGCUUGAAGUUGGCAAGCCAAGAAAUGAAGAAAGCAGUGGUGCCUCCGAGAUGGAUGGUGGAGAGGUGAAGAGGAAGGUCUAGGAAGAGGGCUACAACUGGAAUUAUGAGCAAGAGUCUUGGAAAACCUUUUGGUACAAACUUACCAAAUGCAUAGCAGUAGAAGAGAGAUAAGAAGACCGAGAGCCAUACCUUAAUGAAGUUUCCAAUCUCACCCUCCAUUUCCAUUUCUGCCAAAAUGAAACGAUCUCUUAAUAUUUCUCCAAAAUGCUAUUUUGGAUCUUAUUGAGGUUGGAACUUUUUUGAUUGACUUGGGUUGGGUUGUGUUGUGUUGUGUAAGAUGGCCAUGGAAUGGGUGGUGGUUGUUGCCACAUGACCAAAUAGAUAUUGUCUGGCUAUUAAUGAAGGGCCGGUGGAGUUUAUUUAGUCAGGACAUCACGUUACGGAAUGAAGAAUUUGACAUAAAAUGAAACAAAAAACAAAAAGAAAGGACCAACAAACGACAGAGCAGCAGCAGAGGCAGAAAAACGAAGGGAAAAUAAUACCAAAUUCAUCAACCAAGAUGGAAAGGAAGAAAGAAACCCAAUGCAAAGACUAGGAUUUCGGUGCAUCCAAUCCAUCAGCCAAAAACGACUACGAAUCAAUACUUUCUUUUGGCCAAUUAGCUGAAGUUCUUUGACUUGACGCAACAAUCUAUGAAUACCCAUAUGACCACUUGUCCUUUUUUAUUCUUCUUUCAGCUUAAUUAAUUAGUAAUUCAAUUGGGUGGCUAUGGUUAUGAUUUUCAUUGAUUAAACUAUUGGAAGUGGAAGGAACACAGCGAGGGACUGCGUGGCUCAAAUCGGUGUGAGAGAUACUCAUUUUUGGACGGUUCUUAAGUCUUUGGAAUUUGGUAGGUAGGAGAGGAAAGAAUUAACAGGAUCUGUGAAUAGCUAGCAAGUAGAAAUUGUUUUUGUUUGUGUACCAGAAACAUGUGAAGCACCCAGUUAUUAUAUUUCUGAAGUAAAUCUAAAUCAAGAGGUGGAAAUUUGGACCGCCUUCCAACUUUGAAUCUUUGCAUGGAAUGAAGUAGACUAGACAGUGGAAAAAAGAAAUGUAGAGCCGUUGCUGGGAUUUUAUUUUAUUUUAUUAAUCUCUUUGGCUGUAUGUGUGUGUAUAUAUAUAUAUAUAUAUAUAUGUAUGUAUGUAGGACCAUUGGGUCAGAUUUGACCUACUCCAAGAUCCCCUUUUGUUUGUGUCAACUAUGAAUGAAUGAGACCUCUAAGAACUAAUCCAAUAAUUGUUUCCUUCAAGUACUUUGGUCCUCUAUUAAUUCUUUAUCCAACCGAUUAUAUGUCUUUCUUUUUUGCGUCCAAAAUGAAUAAAACAAUUUGUCAUCCUUAACAAUGUCAAUGGGUGUUAAUAUAAUUGGUUUCUAGAAAUUAAUCUCUCUCUCUCUCUCUCUCUCUCUCUCUCUCUCUCUCUCUCUCUCAAAUAUCUCUCACCACCACAAACACAAUUAAGAAAUCAAAUUUAAGCAAGCAAAGAAAAAUGGAAGGAGAAAUACCCAAUUUCAUCAUGGUAUGGAUCUUAGCUGUGGCUUCACUGUCCUACUGUCACACCAUAGGUAAGCUCACUUCUCCUGGUUUAACCAGGCUCCUUGCCAUACUUCCAGUCAUAUCUUUCUUCUUCUUCCUUCCUCUCAAUCUCACCUCCAUUUGCCUUGGAGGCCCUUCCUCUUUCUUUCUUGCCUGGCUUGCCAACUUCAAGCUCCUACUCUUUGCCUAUGGCAAAGGCCCUCUCUCCACCACCCCACCCAUCUGCAUCUCCCAUUUCAUCCCCUUGGCUUGCCUUCCAAUCAAAUUCCGAAAAGUUGAGAACAAAAUAAAAUCAGGCCCUUCAACAUCUGCCCCAAAAGGCCAGAAAUCUCCUCUUAACUAUGCGAUCAAAGCUUUGAUCCUUGCCACAUCUCUACACGUUUUCCACAACAAACAAUAUAUCCACCCAAAAAUCAUACUCUUCCUCUACUCAAUCUACAUGUACACUGGCCUUGAACUUGUCAUGGCAUUAGUUGCGUCCUUGGCUCAAGCCUUCCUCGGUGUGGAUUUCGAGCCGCAGUUCGACGAGCCUUACCUGGCCACGUCACUCCAGGACUUCUGGGGACGAAGGUGGAACAUCAUGGUCAGUAGAAUCCUGCACCCUACCGUAUACGACCCCGUCCGGAGCAUCUCCAGACGCGUGAUCGGGAACAGAUGGGCUCCGCUGCCAGCUGUGCUCGCGUCCUUUUUCGUGUCGGCGGUGAUGCAUGAGCUGAUCUUCUAUUACAUUGGACGAACGAAGCCCACGUGGGAGCUCACGUGCUUCUUUCUACUCCACGGGGUGUGUUUGGCCGUUGAGAUUAUGCUCAAGCAGGCGUUUGCGGGUAAAUGGCGGUUGCCUGCCGCUGUGUCGGGGCCAUUAGCAAUGAUGUUUGUGGGGGUGACGGGGCUGUGGCUGUUUUUGCCGUCUCUGUUGGUGCGGUGUGAAGCGGACGUGAUGGCAUACAGAGAGUAUCUGGCUUUCACGGAGUUUAUGAAAAAUGUUAGCAACUUUGUUAAAGCCAAUUCUGUCUUAAAUCAGUAGAGUAUUGCACUUUCAUUAUUGUAGGGGAUUAAUUAGUAUAACACAGAGCAAUAAUCCCAGUAUUAUUAAAUAAAAAAAGAUCAAAAUUGCAAAUUAAACUUUACGUUAUUUGUGUUGUGUGCAUCAAUGAAAGCAUUUUCUUCCCGUGGCUACUUUUGCAUGGUCGACCACAACAUUUAAUUUGAAGCUUUAUGAAAAGGGCAAGGCGCGCGCCGCGCACCUUAUUGUUGUCCAAAUCAAAUGGUCUUUAUAAAUUGUCUCUGCUUUUGCAUUUUUGUCAUGAUCGAAUGAUGCAAGUAUUAGUAAUUCCGCUGGACUAGUAGUAACCCAUAUGCAAUUGCUUCCAACACCACGCAUGCAUAAUAAGUUAACCCAUAUGCCAUGCAACACAUAUAUAGAAACAACUUUUGCAAUUGGAUUUGGAGUAGAAGUUGCCAAAAUCAAUUUAAUUGUUUGUUUUUGUGACACCAAAGAGUCGGAAAAGGAAAAGACGCUUUAAUAAUUACCACCACAACUAGUUCGCAAAUGACCACCACUUUUGCCGGGCCAACAUGAACACUACUUCCCUUCUUUGAUUAGCAUAAAAAUAGGGUAUUUCCCAACCAAUAAUGGCAAGUAUUUCCUAACUAAUAAUGGCAAGUAUUUGUGGCAAGGGGCAGGUAUUAAUGGUCCAUGUGUUAUGAGGCCCAACGUCAAGUCAAAUGCAAUUCCUUUAAUCUUGGGUCACUGCCACAGCUAAGACCAUUCUGGUCCCACUGCUCUAAAUUAUGAGCCCACAUAUCCUGAGGGUAUGUUUGGUAGACUUCACUGGACUGGAUUAGAUAGCACUUGAAAAUCAUAUUUGGUAAGAAGGAGGACUAACUUAAAUAGGAUUGUAGAGUCCUAACAGUAAAAAAAAUGCAUCGCUCGCUCUUCCAAUUUAGUGAGGCUGAAACUCGCUUCGCAAAUUAGCAAGUUCGCAAAAUAGAACACGCUAGUCCUCCAACACCGACAACCUUCAACGCCUCUGUCUCGUUUCGUUCAACAUCGACUCCUGCUCUUCUUCCAAGUUAUACUCAGGUAAGUUUUUCUGGACUCUCCAUUUGCAUUACAAUUGAGGUAGGGCUUGCAGUUGCAGAGAGAUAUAGAAGGAGGUGAACCAAAAUAUAUUAUUGGGUUAUUGCCUUUCAACGACAACUAUAUCUUUUGGGUGGAUUCAGGCUCUGCCAUCGCCAUAGAGAUUGAAAGGAGGUUUCUUAGGUAAGUAUUUGGUUCUAGCCAUCAGCUAAAUGAAAUUUGAAUUUUGAGUCUUAGCCCCAAGAUAUUGUGGCACAUUUGUAUCUGCCAUUGCAAGGGCCUUGUCAAAAUCAGGUCUUGCGAUCCCAAGUCCAUGGAAUGCCAAAUUUUCUUCUGUUAAUUAUUGGUGUACAUUAGUUUGAUUAUGGGGUUUUCAGGUGUGGCUAGAGGAUGUGGGUGGCAACACUUGGAUGCGCUGCUUGGUUUGCUAAACUCGGUGGCAACACUUGGCUAUCAUUUUACAAAUUUCAUUUUAGAGCAGAGGUAUGGAAAAAGGCAUGAAGAUGAGCUGCCCAAGUUCUGUAAUUUUCUGCCUUUUUCUCUUUCUGGGUUGUUUGUGAUUGAAUGAUUUUUUGUCAAAUUGCAUGCAGUUCCAAUUCGUAGAAGUUCCAAAAAGAGAAAAGCUGAAAAUAAUGAAACCAGAAACAGAGAAAAGAAAAAAGAAAAAAAGAGGGAUGGUGAAGAGAGGGGAAGAAAAGAGAGAGAUGAGAGAGAAAAGAAGAAGAAAAUGCUUCACUAAUUAAAUAUUAGAAUUUAUUUGCCUCUUUCCUUGUUGUGCGUGGGUUUAAUGAAAUAAUGAAUUAACCAAAAAAAUAAAUAUUAGAAUUUUAUUUAUUUAUAGAUUAAUUUUAUUUAAUUAAAUUUAAAUAUAUUAAAUAUUUGUUUUUUAGUCCCACACAACAUCAAACAUAGGUCUUCAUUAUUUUUACAGUUCAGCUUCUUAGUCCGACGCAGCACCAAAUGUAGGUCAGUACUUAAUCCAACUUAGGCUAAUCCGAGCUAAUCCAAGACAGUCCCGGGAUUUAGUCAUAUCCAUAAUAGUCCGCCGUAUCAAACGACCCCUGAAAGGCUACAUGAUACAGCAACCCAACAGUAUAAAUAAGGAGUAAGGGUAUUUGGACACACAAGAUUGACUACAUUAGAUGACUAUUUAUGUGGCAGCAUAUGUAGUCAUGUUAUGUCAAUUAAUGAAUAUUACCAUGUAGAUUUUAUUUUUAUUUACUUUUUUUUUAAAUAAUCCUUAAAAACGACAAAAUUAUAAUUAAUUAUAAUUAACCCUAGCAUCUUUACGUUGUAGCAGGCUGCAACUUCGUUCUCUACUCAACACUCCCUUCCUCCAUCAAAUCUACCCUUACCCAGUAACACCAGCGCACUGCUAGCGCGUUUUUCAAGAAUGUCGGUCGUGCUUUUGUUUCUAGACUAGAGGUGUCAAAUGGGACGGGCCAAUCCAGCAAGGCACGAGCCCAGUCCAUCUAAAUGAGACACAGCACAACAUGAGCAUGAUUAUUAGUGGGCCGUGCUCGGCACGACACGAAAGCUUGGGCCGGCCCAAGAUAUAAAAAUGAGAUCCAAUAAACUGAGCCGACUUGUGAUCUGAGCCCGCUUCAAGCACGGCCCGAACCCGAACCCGCUUCCAAGCUCGUCCCACUUAACUUUUUUCUUAGACGCAAUGCCUUUCAGCAAUUUUAAACUGGGAAUGAGGACGAAGAGCUUGAUGAGAAGAAGAUUUACAGAACCACUUAUAUGUUUAGUGCCACAGUGUCGCCUGCUGUAGAGCGGCUUGCUAGGAAGUACUUGAGGAAUCCUGUUGUGGUCACGAUUGGCACGGCUAGAAAGACAACUAAUUUGAUCACUCAGAAUGUUAUAAGUGUGAAUAUAGGUAAACAAACUUUUCAACGGAGGGCCCAACUUAUUAUGCAAUGUGAUGUUGUUUUAGGGGCUGAGACAUCUUUGCCUACUUCUGGAACUGAAGAAGUGAGUUACUUUGAAUGGGAUUGUGCUUAUCUGUAAUUUUGAUUAUGAAUAUUUCUGCUGUACUGUAAUGGGCAAAUUGAUGUCAUGACUUUUUUCUUAUGAAACAAUGUUGUUAGUCCUGAUGACUAGUUAGAACCAGUAAAUUGUGUAUGACGAUAUCAGUUGGGAAUGUUUAUUUUUUUCCCUUCAUAAAAGUAUUGUUUCUCUUAUAAUCAAAGCAAGACAUUUCUUUGUAUAUAAAAUAAUAAGUUGUUCAAAGCUGAAAAGUUAUAAGGAGAAGCGAGUGAAAAAAAAAAAAAAAAAAAGAUCAUAGGAAAAAAAAAAAAAUUCAAGUGAAAAAAAUUCAAAUUAAAUGGGUUGGUUCUUGGGCCCAAGUACAAGCAUGGCACGACCAGUUUCAAUGUGAACUUGAGCUUUGGGCCGGACUAGGAUCAAUAGUUUUACUAAAUAGACCAACACGACACAACCUGAUAAAUUAAAUCCAACACGACACGAAUGUAUUAAAAUUAUGAAUUUACGGAUCCAGCCCGUUUGACACCACUAUUCCAUGGCCAUGAACACAAGAACGAGAAGCACCUCGUCGUAGCAGAAGACGUGUAGCUGUUAGACAUUAUUUUACAGUUACAUUACAUACAACUUUAACACUUUUUUAAAUGAACAUGCAAACAUGAGAUAGAGAACUUUUUAUUUGAAUUAUUUUCUUCUUUUGAUGCAAGUUGGUUUAAAUGUUCUCAGAAAAGCCACUAAUAGCAACAACAAUGCAUCAUUGAAUUAUACCAAGGAUUAAAGUGAUGGAAGUAGCCCUUAAUUAUUCUAAUAGGGAAAAAUUCAAAGUUCAAAAUUCUCCUCCCCGGAAGUUCUAAGGAAACGUGGUGCGUACCUUAACUGGCAGGCACCCAUGGUUGGAACUUGGACUGACUAAUUAACUAGGUCAAUUGGGAAGCUAAUCAAACGAAUUGUUUCCUUAAAGUAUUUUUUCCCUCCUUAAUUCUUUAUCCAACCGAUUAUCUGUCUUUCUUUUUUGCUUCCAAAAUGAAUAAAACAAUUUGUCAUCAUCAUUAACAAUGGGUGUUAAAAUGUAAUUGGUUUUUAGCAAUUAAUAGCACAUACCCUACAUCUUUUUCUGUUUAUGGAAUUCAACUUGUUUUCGACCACGAGUCAAGCCAGGCAGCCACCCAAUUAAAAACCAUCAAUCACCGAUACAUACAAAUCUACCAAAAUAGGCCCCCUUUUGCAAGACCCUCUCUCCCUCUCUCCCUCUCUCUCUCUCUCUCUCUAAGUACAUCCAUCUCAAACUCAAAACCUCUCACAAACGUCUCUCACCACCACAAACACAAAAAAGAAAUCAAAUUUAAGCAAGCAAAGAAAAAUGGAAGGAGAAAUACCCAACUUCAUCAUGGUAUGGAUCUUAGCUGUGGCUUCACUCUCCUACUGUCACACCAUAGGUAAGCUCACUUCUCCUGGUUUAACCAGGCUCCUUGCCAUACUUCCAGUCAUAUUUUUCUUCUUCUUCCUUCCUCUCAAUCUCACCACCAUUUUCCUUGGAGGCCCUUCCUCUUUCUUUCUUGCUUGGCUUGCCAACUUCAAGCUCCUACUCUUUGCCUAUGGCAAAGGCCCUCUCUCCACCACCUCACCCAUCUGCAUCUACCAUUUCAUCCCCUUGGCUUGCCUUCCAAUCAAAUUCCGAAAAGUUGAGAACAAAAUAAAAUCAGGGUCUUCAGCAUCUGCCCCAAAAGGCCAGAAAUCACCUUUUAACUAUGCGAUCAAAGCUCUAAUCUUUGUCACAUCUCUACACGUUUUCCACAACAAACAAUAUAUCCACCCAAAAAUCAUACUCUUCCUCUACUCAAUCUACAUGUACACUGGCCUUGAACUUGUCCUGGCAUUGGUUGCUUCCUUGGCUCAAGCCUUCCUCGGUGUCGAUUUCGAGCCGCAGUUCGACGAGCCUUAUCUGGCCACGUCACUCCAGGACUUCUGGGGACGAAGGUGGAACAUCAUGGUCAGUAGAAUCCUGCACCCUACCGUAUACGACCCCGUCCGGAGCAUCUCCAGCCGCGUGAUCGGGAACAGGUGGGCCCCGCUUCCAGCUGUGAUGGCUUCCUUUUUCGUGUCGGCAGUGAUGCAUGAGCUGAUCUUCUAUUACAUUGGACGAACGAAGCCCACGUGGGAGCUCACGUGCUUCUUUCUCCUCCACGGGGUGUGUUUGGCCGUUGAGAUUAUGCUCAAGCAGGCGUUUGACGGUAAAUGGAGGUUGCCUGCUGCCGUGUCAGGGCCGUUAGCAAUGACGUUUGUGGUGGUGACGGGGCUGUGGCUGUUUUUGCCGUCUCUGUUGGUGCGGUGUGAAGCGGACGUGAUGGCAUACAGAGAAUAUGUGGCUUUCACCGAGUUUAUUGAAAAUGUUAGCAACUUUGUUAAACCCAAUUCUCUCUUAAUUAAGCGUAGUUGGUAAAUACUAAAUGAGUAGAGUAUUGUAGGGGAUUAAUUACUGAGCAAUAAUCCCAGUCUUAUUAAAUAAAAAAAAGAUCCAAAUUGCAAAUUAAACUUUACGUUAUUUGAGUGCAUCAAUCAAAGUCAGUCUAGAUUUCUUUUGAUACCAUUUUCUUCCCGUGGCUACUUUUGCAUGGUGGACUAAAAGGCAAAAACCAAAAAGCAGAUGGAUGUCAGUCAGAGUCAGGUAUAGAAAUUAAAGUAUUAGAGCUUGACGUUGAAUUUUCAACCCAUCUGCAAUUGCUUCCUCCACACAUGCAUAAUAAGUUAACCCAUAUGCCGUGCAACACGUAUAUAUAAACAACUAUUGCAAUUGGAUUUGGAGUAGAAGUUGCCAAAAUCAAUUUAAUUGUUUGUUUUUGUGACACCAAAGAGUCGUAAAAGUAAAAGAUAGUCUAAUAACCACGCCAAAUAAGAAAACAAAACAAAAUUUAACCUUUUGCCGGGACAAACACUACUUCCCACACAACUAGUUCGCACAUGACCAUCACUUUUGCCGGGCCAACAUGGACGCUACUUCCUGCUUUUGAAAGGAAACAUUCUUACUUUCAAUAAAUUAUAGUUUAAUACGUAUGUAAAAUAAUUCAUUAAAAAUACACAUAUAUAUAUAUAUUAAACUGUAAUUAACAUAAAGGUAAGAGUUCCUACCCAGCGAAGAAGCCGAAGUAUUUCCAAACCAAUAAUGGCAAGGGGCAGGUAUUAAUGGUCGAUUUGUUAUGAUAUGAGGCCCAACGUCAAGUCGAAUGCAAUCCCAUUAAUCUUGGGUCCCGAUGCUCUAAAUUCUGAGCCCACAUACCCUGAAGGGCUACAUGAUAUUGCAACAUUUUCCAGUUUGUCAUGGUAUCAAUUUUUUGUUUAUUGUUGUUGUUUAGUAUGGGCUAGCCUCUCUGCACGCGCUUCCGCGCUUGCGAGAGGUUUUUUAAAAAAAAUAAGUAAAUUUAUUUUAGAAUUAAAAAAGAUAAUGAGUAGUUGUGUUCCAUAAAAAUAGGAUCCAUUAUUUGCCUUUUUUUUUCUUUUAAUUUUUUUAAAUAUGAAAAAGUGUGAAUUUACCAUAUUAUCCUUAUUUAAUUAAUAAUUUAAAUUCUUAAUGUUUGCAUUAACAAAGGGCAUUUUCUGGUAUUUUGAAUAUUUCACCGUUCUCUGUCUUUUGCUUUAUAUAUAAUAGAUAAAAGUUACGCUGACGCGGCAGUAGCUUAUUAGCUACUAAUAAAUCCCAAUCCGUUUCAUCCCCAUCACAGCAAAACCAGAGCUUGGAGAGAGCCUAAGGCAACGUACAGCUUUGUUUGUUUUUGGAGGACAAUCGUAUCAUUCAAGGUAAGAAGAUUCCUCCUCUUUUUUUCUCUUGCUGUGUUUUACCUUUCAUAUUUUUAUUUAGAAUAUGUUGAAGAUCCAAUUAGAGUUUGAACUCGUUGAUCCAAUUGGAUUCUGAUCUGUAAAAUUAUGGUUUUGCAGAUCAACUGAUACUGUUUGCGGAUUUAGUUGCCUAAAGAAAAGGGUUGGAAUCAAAUAAGAGCGUAAUGGGUUUUGUGGUUACAACUCUAAUCUUUGCAAUGGUGGGCGUAAUUGCUUCCCUUAUGGUCAGAAUCUGCUGCGGUAGAGGCGCUUCGGCCAAUUUGUAUGUCUUACAUGCUCUGCUACUUUUGCUUUCUCUUCCAUUUAUUCCAAAAUGCAAAACCUUAUCGUACGAAUUCAAAGCUUUUAUCUUUUUAAUUUUGUUUCCAGUUGUUAAUUCAAUAGUGGAGUGGAAGUAAGUCUGAAUGUUAAUUUGGACAUAGUUGAUGAUAGAUAUUUGGAGAUUAGGGAUGAUCAGAUCGAAACUGUUAUAGUCUAUAUGCCUUUUUGGUUAAUGGAUAAAACACAUUUGUAGUCCGUUUUAGCGUAUCGUCGAUUUUGAGUGCCUCUCUUGUUGUUGCAUCAAAACAUUAUGGGGAAAAAUCUAACACAUGGGAUUGUUGGAAAAGAAAAUAAGAAAUAUGGCCGUGUCGUGUUGAUUUAAAGUGUGAAAUAUGGUGCUAAGUCGGGUUUAUAUCGGGAGGAAGACCGUGAUCAUUGUGGUUUUCAUGUUACAUCUAAAGAUAUUAUAUCAGUGAGAGUUCUAGUUAGACACUUGAAGGGGAUCCCCUUGAAUUUAUAGAUUAAUUGGGUAUACUUGUGUGUGUAAUAUGUUCUAUUAUUAGCCUGAAUCUCUGUGGAAAAUAUAGUUUUGAUCCUAAACAUCUACAUCUACAUCAAAUGAGAAAUGGCAUUGUUGCUUCAAUGUUUACUCAACAUCCACAUCUAGUACUUACUGCUGAAAUUUUGUUUACAUAAUUGAGAUUGGAAAACUUUUGGACCUUCCAACAGUGGGGGCUUCCUUUCAAAUUCUCUGGCAGCUAAGCUAAUGUAAUGUUACUCCUGUGCAGGCUCCAUCUUACACUGGUGAUCACAGCAGUAGUGUGCUGUUGGAUGAUGUAUGUUUUCCCCUUGAUCUUUUAUUUUAGUUUUGUUGCAAACUUGCUCCCUUGGAUAUUGACUUUGCCUUGCUCUUUUCAAUACUUGUUAGGUGGGCAAUUGUAUACGUUGCACAGAUGAAACCACUCAUUGUUCCAAUCCUCAGUGAAGGAGAGUGAGUUGAAACAUUGAAGAAUCUGUUCGUGCAGAAUUGGGUCACACAUCAUUGUUUCAGACUUCCCAUUCGGGAUUUAGAUGUAUAAUUUUGGAAGAGAGUUGGUCGGAAUUUAAGAGACCUGGGAUUGGUUGUUGUAUUGCCUUCUCCCAAUAUAUUUGUUUGCUUCACCUUCAUCCUUGGAAAACAGGGUGAUAGAACAGUCUGUAUUUUUAUUUUUUGGUCGUAGAUAGACCAAUUUGCAUGUAUGUAACUCUUUUUUUUUUUUUUUUCGAUGUGAAAUAAAAAGUCGAUCUUGAGUGUCUAGCUCAUCUCUCAUUGGUUUAUAUAUGUGCAUGGAAACUAUAGAUUGUUUGAGGGCAGUGUAAGAACUGGAAGCUUCUUCUCUCGAAUGGUGGUCUGAAAAAGAAUUGGGCUAGCUACCUUCCCUCACGCCUUUCCUAUUCAGUCCGGGUGACACGUGUAUUUUACACACAUAAUUAAUGUUACAAGGAAACAAGUGUAUUUUACACACAUAAUGUUGAAAGAAGGAAUUCGGGGUGUAGGUUUUAUUAUACGUGAUUUUGAUGGUAACCUGAGGGAGCCGUUCAGAUGCGGGCGCCUGGUAUGGUCUCCAUCCUUGCGACAGGAUUAUAUGCGUUGAAGGCUGGCCUUCUUUUUGCCAUUGAUGCCUCCUUUACACCUCUGAUAGUUGAAUCCGAUUGUCUGAAUGCUGUAAACAUGAUCAAUAGUGGAGAUGUCUGGUUUGCUACAGUCUACAGAGGGGGGUCUAGUGGAGGAAAUCCGAAGGCUGCUGCACCAUAAUCCGUCGGUGACUGUUCGGCAAAUCCCUCGCCCUGCUAAUAAGGUGGCUCAUCGGAUUGCCAAGUUUAGUUUACGUGACAGAGAUCUCUCAUACUGGCUGGAGUCGGGGGCCCAUGACUCAUGUUUUGUAUCCAGGAUGAUUGUCUUUCUUUAUAAUAUUGAUUUGUCUUUGUAAUUGGUAAGCGUCGCACUAUUUUCUACCUCAAGUUCUAUUUUAUAUAGUUUUCUUCGGAAAGAUUUUAACGAGUCCAUGUUUUUAGUUGCUGAACUAUUCAGUUUCGAUUGAUUAAUGAAAUUGUCUCAUUCUCAAAAAAAUGUUACAAGGAAACAAUUGUCAAAGUCUUCUACAUUUACUCAGAAGGAGCGGUUAUGUCUUGUGUACUGGUGCAAGUAGUUAUCCUACAGCAUGGAUCUGGAAUCUAGAUCAACACACCAUAAUAAUAGCUCAUUGACCAACUCCAAAAUUACUUUGUUUGUGCUGACCUUAACUGAGCACUAGUAGCUGGUGAUGUGGUGCACUCUAGAGACCGGACAUAGAAAUACGUGCAGAUUAAAACGUUGUGCAAACCAAGACGUGGCAUUCAAUGGCACUAAUUGAGGUAGUUGUUCAAUGAGGCUGAAAGCCCUCUUCUACAUGCAUGUAAUGUAACAAACAAGAAUAUAAAUCACUUAGCAAGGCUUCUACGACUCAUUUCAGAAGCAGAUCAUGGAGAAAAGGGCUUCUACACAAGCUGCUGUGCCACUGAUGAUGCUGCUGCUGCUUUUGUGGUUGUUUGUGUUCCCAGCACUGGCUUGCCCAUCGGACGGCAGUCAGUGUAGAGACUGUGUGGCUAAUCAGAUGAAGUUUGGAUGCCCAGAAUGCACGCCGGUUCUGCGGUGUAUGGCACGAUGCUUGUGGAGGGGAAGCUCAAGGGCCAACUGUGUCAAGAGGUGUAACUGUGGUUCUGGUGGCAAACCUAAGCUCUCUGACUGCAAGAAAUGCAUGUUGCGCUGCAAGUGCAGCUGCAUGUCAUAGAUAGAUGACUUCCCAAGAAGCUGUGUGUCUCUAUGUUUCUACUUAUCGCAAAUUUUAUGUAUCUCCAGCUUAUUGAAAAAUCUCUUUAUAUGGUUUGUGAAUUAAUUUCAAUUUCAGUAUCUAUUUUGUGACAAUGAAUCACAGCUAAAAUCACAAACAUCAGAAUUUCUAUGUGACCAAGACUGAAAAUUUGAGAAUAAUUUGAGGCGUUUCAAUUUCAUGAAACUACUACAAGUAAAGGUUUUAUUCACGAUAAAUAAAUAGACGAAUAGAAAGACUAGCUAUAACAGGCUCACUGCAUAGCAAUUACAAUUUGCAGUGUGCAUAUGCAGUCUGUACAUCACAUAUUACGCAGCAGCAGUGGCCGCACGCACUAGAUCACGGCUCGCGCAGAAACCUCUGUAAGCAGCGAAAACCCAGAUACUGAGCACAAAACCUCUCCAUCUCCUCACCCCCUCUCUCCCUGCACACACCCUCCUCCAUCUCCGCAACGACGUCGUCCCAGUUCCUCACAAACCCAGCAUCUCCACAUCCCCAAAAGCCAUCAACAUCUUCUGAAACAAUCGCGUCUACGAUCUCCUGCAACCCCACGAUCCGACGGCUCACUUUUCUUCUCGCUUCUCUCACUGCGGGGUCCACCCCACGAACGGAGUCCAGCUUCAGCAGCAACCUCAUCAGCGCCUCGUUCAUCCUCAGCUUCUCGCGCUCGCUGCUCCUCACGGCGUCGACCGUUUCCUGCCGUUGAAUCAGGCGCUGGAACUCGUCGGCCUCGGAAUGCACGGCUGCGAUUGUUUUAUAGAGAGUGCGGAUGAGGUGGGCCCGGUAGGCGGAUUGAAUUUUGAUGGCUGCGGUGGAUUGGGGUACGUGAACGGUGAUGGGAAUUGGGGUAGCAGAGGACUGGAUGGGAAUUUCGGUGGCGGUGGGAGGGGCAGGUUGUUCAUUGUGGAGAGUGUAGGUGACGGUGGUGGUAGAAGAGGAGGAGGAGGAGAAGCUGAGCCUGCGACUGCGAGAGGGUUUCAUAUUCCGCUAAAAGCCUAGUCUAGUACUAGUAUUGUGCGUGUAGUGUGGAUGAUGAGUUAAAGUUUUUAGUGUGAAAAAUGAAAAUCGUCUCUGAAUUUUAAAAUAAAAAGAAAUAAUUUCGGAACUGUAGGAGGUUCUUGAAUGGUCUUGGCGCGUAACAGUGUUGCAUGGGUGGCGUGUGCACUCAGGUCAGCAACCCCGUCGGUCCUCCCGUCCGUUAAUUUACGGGACCCACGCCCACGUCCCCUUUUUGGAGGAAUGCUUCUUUUUCAUUUAUAGUGUCACACGAAAAAGAAAAAGCAGCAAAACAAAAGCCUCCUAAAAUUGCUGCGUAAACAGCAAAAUCAUUUGUGGAGAGAGAGAGAGAGAGAGAGAGAGAGAGAGAGAGAGAGAGGGCAAUGAAUUAUUCACUAAAUAGUAUGACAUUCAUUGAGCACCGAGUGAAGUCAAAAUAAGAAUUACAUAACGACAAUGGAAAAGUGAGUGGGACACACAGCUCCAACAAGAAGAAGCAAAAGUCUUCAAGGAGGUGAUGGCACAAUCUUUCCAGAGCAUCUCCCGAAGCCAAUGUUGUAACCAUUCCCCUGCAAUGGAAACAUAUUAGAUGCUACACUUGCACAUAGUAAAAAUAUCAAACACAACAAGGGAUAGACAACUAAGCACGUAAAGCUUAUCCUAUCGCUGGAUUAAACAGAAAUCGCCAACUAUGUGAAAACAUAAAUUAGCUUCAUGACAAAUGGAGCAUAUUUUACAACACAAUAUCGUCAUGAUCAAAUAUAUGGAAAGCACUAACCUUGCUAACACCAGAAAUGAUGACUUCAUCUCCAUCUUCUAGGAAUUUACGAGGAGUCCCAUUUAAGGACAGCUGCUUUUGUCCGUUCCAUGUCAACUCCAGCAAGCAUCCAUAAGAUUCUGGCUCCUAUUGUGAAACACAAGUGAUGAAUGGAGUUCACUCUAGCAAGAAAUUUCACUCAAACAAAAUGUCAUAUGAAUGUAGGAAUAUAUUAGAACAAACUGAAACCAUACAGGUCCGCUGAUGGUCCCUGUUCCAAGGAGAUCGCCCGGCCUUAAAUUGCAACCAUUGAUAGUAUGGUGUGCUAGCUGCUGAGUCAAUGUCCAAUAUCUGUAUACGAGUUGCAGAAAUUAAGAUAAUAUUAUAACAGGAUCACACCAGAACAAAUAAAAAGUAUAAAAACAUGGAUUUUCUUUCAUCGGAUUAUUUAGCAUCCUGUUAAGCAUUCAACUAAGCUACAAGGAACUUAUGAUGCCCCUUGGAAGUGCAGCACCAAAGAAAGCUUGGUAAUAAUGCAUAUAAAGCACUUUAUACCAGACUGCAAGUAAACUACUACAGAGGAGAUGUCCCAACUCUGAGUAGGCAUCAUGAUUAUGAUCACUGUUGCAUAGUUUUUGUUGAGGGAAUACGGAGAAAGCUAGGUAACUUAUUCAAUGGUUAACAGGGCAAGACGUUGUCCCAACUAAAGAUUAAAUAUGUCGAGGAAGUAAUUGGGCAGAAAUCCUUACAAAUUAUUGAAAUUACUCUUUGUGACCACAUGUGAAUCAUCUUGUCCAGCAGGUUUAAUUUGAACCUUGCAAUAAAAGGCAGUUUCAUCGUCAUCUCAAGAAUGGAAGAGCAUAUAACUAUUUACAAUCUUAACCAUUAAAAAAAAAAAAAUUCAUAAGGCCUAGAAGGAUGAUUAUUGAUUUAUCCAUCACUGGAGAUUAUAAAAGAAACAAGUUUAUAAACUGAAAGAAGCAAGUGUGCCAACGAGAUGGAAGAUACCUCCAAUGAAAUGUCAUAAUUUUUGGAGAUCUUUUCAGCCAGAUAGGGCAAUGGAUGGGGGUCCUACAAUUCGCAGCAUGUAUAACAUAAAUAAAAAUCCACGCACAAUUAGAAAGAAAAAUUGGGAAAUUAUGGUGCUACGCAAAUCUGAGUAAGCACCUGUUUGGGAGCCUCACAAGAAAAAGGUUCUAGAGCUUCUAGCGUCACUAUCCAAGGGGAUAUUGUAGUCCCUAAUAUUUACAUUUUUACACAAAAAUAAUGUCAGUCUUGCAGUCAACCGACUGAGAUAGUGCUUAAAUCCAGUACUCUAAGCUACAGAAAUGGAAUGUAAGAAUGAGGCGUCAUGGUUUUCGGUUCUUACCAAAGCUUUUCCCAAGGAAAGGGCCAAGGGGAACAUAUUCCCAUGCCUGAAUAUCUCUAGCUGUCAAAACCAACUUCUUAUCAAGUAUAACCAAAAGUUAAAUAUGAAGGAUGAGAAGAACCUAUAGAAGCAAGAAGCAAGCAUACCACUCCAGUCAUUCAUCAACACAAGUCCAAAGAUGUGAUCUGCUGCUUCAUUAACAUCCACGGGCUUUCCUAACUCAUUUCCAGGACCAACUAUAGCAGCCUACAAGCAAAAUGAGAAUCGGCAGAACAUAAUAAAUACAACGAGUUAUGGACAUAACCAAAAUUAUGAGGUUCUACAGUACUAAAGGCUAUACUAGAGCAUAGAAAGCCUAACCAUUUCGAGCUCAAAGUCUAGUUUCACUGAGGGACCGAAAGGUGGUGGAGAGUUUCCAGCAGGAGGGCCUUGACCUCUGUGAUAAAACAAAUAAAAAUUGUAUAAUAUAAGAUUCCAUUCAACCUGCGUACUCAAUGAGCCUAAAAGCAACAAUAGAUAAAUAAACUCGGACCUGGGUCGAGUAAUGUCCGUUCCAGAUAUAACAAUUGAAGAAGCUCGACCAUGAUAUGCAAUUGGAAGGUGGAACCUGGGCAUAAAGUAAUAUUCAGACUUCCUGGACUUGUAAAAACAAUAUUACAAGUGAAAAAGAACUUAUGUUCCAUGCGUUGUUCAAAAUCCACAUACCAGUUUGGUGGAAUCGGGUUCUGUGGUCCACGAAAUAUUGUUCCACAGUUCUUUGCAUGAUGCAAGGAUGAAAAGAAGUCCGUAUAGUCCCCUAUGGCAAUAGGAAGAACCAUUUCUACCUCGCUCUAAACAUCGAUCCAUAUAAAGAAAGACGAAUAAAUAAAUAAAUAUAUAGAAAAAGGGGAAAAAUCUAAGCUUAAAAUUAUCAUAUAUUCAAAACCAUAUAAUUUCUCAGAUACCAGUGGAAUAAGUGAUUUCUGCCUUAAACUUUCAUUGUCACGCAAUGAUGGCUCUGUAGCUGCACCAAUAAUUAACCAAAUGAAGCUUAGUUAUUAACUUAAUGAAGUAUAAACUAAACCUAAUUACUUGAAUAAAUAAAUAAAUAAAUAAAGACGCCUACAUGACAAUAGUUUCUGAAGCGUAGCACGCGCUUCCUUCCAAGCAGCCCGUCCCAAUGCCAAUAGCUUGUUCAAAUUAGGCUAACAACCAAAACAGAGCAAUUAAUUACUGCAUUUAUCAUCAAUUAUAGUGAAGAUGGAAUUGAUGAUCAAACGGACCUCGUGAAAGCAAUCGGAGUUAUUGAGGAUCGGACCGUUGAAGAGACCAGCUGCGGCGAUUACAGAGAGGUCCAAGACGUAGUCACCGAUUGCCACGCCCGGUCGAGCCACUGAACCUCGGUCAGGCUUGAAGGCUCCGUACGGGAGGUUCUGUAUGGGGAAGUGCGAGCUGGGGUGGACUUCGAUGAACGACUUCAGAGCCAUGCUGGAAACGGCGUCGUUGAGCUGUUGAAAAUUUCGGACAAAGAAGAUGACAGAGCGGAGCUCGCAGUGAAGAAGAUAGACUGAGGUGUUAAUGUACAUAGAAGCAAGAGCAAGUAGAGCUGGUUUUCUCUCCGUUUUUAAGGAUAAAAUAGUAAUACUUUAUUUGGGAUUAUUAAUUUGGUGUGGUAAGUUGGUUAGGGACUUGGGAUUAUCGGUCCUAAUUUUGAGUCAUGUGGGCAGCUGCCUACCAAUCUUUCAAAGCGGUGCACUUGAUCUACCCUCCUACGCAGACCUGGUAAUGGGCCUAACCCGGAUUGGCCUGGGACUGGCUUGGGAUUUAUAAGCAUAUUGGAUUUUCUUUUCAAUUUUGGCCUUUACAUUUGACUACGCUAGUGAAUUGCUAUCCGAACAUUCGUAUGUUCAAUUUAGGAUUAACCAGUAAUUUGCUCAGCAAGAUUCAAAGCUGUCGUUGGUGAGGAAGGGCGAGAUUCAUUGCAUAAUCCACUUGGGCACAAUCCACCACGGAGCAUCGAAAGUGGGCUGGGUACUUUCAGUGGAGCCCAAAUGAAUGUUGAACUCGGGCCUGGAUCUGAACCGGAACAGUUGGAGGACCCAAUGCAGUAUGAAGCACCAGCAGAGCAAGAACACAAACAUAAGGCCAACUCAAAAAAUGGUAGGGGGUCGUGGAAACGCCAAGCAAGGACAAGAAGCUUUUUAAUCCAUCCACUUGAGGGGGAUACUAGUGAAGUUAGAGGAUGGUCUGGGAAAAGGGGAGCAAGGGAGUUAACAGAGGCUGGGAGAGUUGUGACAAAGAGGCCAAAAGAGAGUGACACUAUGACUAUUUGUUCAACCAAAGUGGUGGGAUCAGCAGGACUGACCCACCACGAGCAAUGAGGAUCUUAAGUUGGAAUGUCCAAGGUCUCGGGGCUCCUCGGACAUUCGACUCUCUCAAAAAUGUGUUGCGAGAGAAAAAACCCGAUUUGGUCUUCUUAAUGGAAACCAAAAUGACGGCAAAGCAGAUGGAAAAUACACGGAUACAACUUGGAAUGGAAGGGAUAGUUACAGUGGCGAGAGUGGGCUUGGGGGGAGGUUUGGCUUUAUUUUGGCGGAGUGGAUGGGGUGUGAGGCUACUAUCUUAUUCCGUGGGUCACAUUCAUGUUUUGAUCACUGAGUCGAAUGAUUCACAGUUUUAUCUUACUGGUUUUUAUGGGCAUCCUGACACGCAACAACGAAACCAUUCUUGGGAGUUAUUACGCAGAUUGUCGUAUACAGUUCAAGGAGCCUGGGUGGUAGUCGGAGAUUUUAAUGAGAUCCUGUUCUCAAAAGACAAAAGAGGGGGACGAGAACGACCUCAAGGCCAGAUGAAUAAUUUUAAGAUGGCAUUGGAAGAUUGCCGACUUAGUUCCACUAGAUUUACUGGGUACCCGUUCACUUGGGCACGUCGUUACCCUGAUGGUAGCGUGGUGGAAGAACGUUUAGACAGAUGUGUAGCGAAUGGAGUCUUCUUCGGUCGUUACUCACAUCUGACGACCAGCCAUUUAGUGGCAGUGGGUUCCGAUCACUAUCCGAUUCUAGUGGAGGCUUGUGUUGAUGAUCCAGAAGCGGGUGCAAAACGGAGUAGACGGUUUCAUUUUGAAGAAAUGUGGACAAAGGAGCCAGAAUUCAACAAAGUGAUUGAAGAGGCUUGGAAGGUUACUGACGGAGUGGAGAGUGUAAGUAACAGCUUAUCACUGUGCGCAAAGGAACUCAAAACUUGGAACCAUAUCCAUUUUGGUAAUGUUCGCAAGCAAUUAACACAUGCUUAUAAGGAGUUAACAGCCCUUCAAGGAAGACUGACAACUGAUCAGCAUGUGUUAAAGGCCAAAGUUGAGGAAACAAUUUCAGAUCUUUUAGAAAAACAAGAAAUUAUGUGGAGACAACGAUCCAGAGUCGUGUGGCUAAAGGAGGGAGACAAAAAUACUCAUUUUUUCCAUGGAAGGGCAAGUUCUAGAUCCAAACGCAAUAGGGUAUGCGGAAUAUUUGAUGCAAACCAGGCUUGGCAGACUGAAGAGCAACGUAUAGGGGAUCUUUUCUGUGACUAUUUUAAGACCUUAUUCUCUUCCUCUGGUGGCCAGCAAAUGGAGCGGAUUCUAAACGAAGUAAGGCCGGUAAUAACAAGUGCUAUGAACGACCGGCUAUUGCAAGCUUUUACGCGGGAAGAGCUGGAGCAUACUUUAUUUCAGAUGUUCCCAACGAAAGCACCUGGGCAUGAUGGCAUGCCAGCUUUAUUUUUCCAAAAGUACUGGCAUAUAGUUGGCGAUAAGGUGGCCAAAAAGUGUUUGCAGAUUUUAAACGGGGAAGGAAGCGUUCGGGAGUUUAACCAUACCCUUAUAGCUCUCAUCCCGAAAGUCAAGAUGCCAACCACUGUUUCAGAGUUCCGACCAAUCAGCCUGUGUACAACCGUAUACAAGAUGAUAGCGAAAACAAUUGCAAAUCGAUUGAAGACUGUCCUUCCUCACGUUAUUACUGAAACUCAGAGCGCUUUUGUACCGAACCGAAUGAUUCUGGAUAAUGUGAUGGCUGCUUUCGAAAUAAUGAAUACGAUUAAGGGAGUGAAGAAGAGGCGCGAUGUCCAAAUGGCUCUCAAAUUGGACAUGGCCAAAGCAUACGACCGGGUGGAGUGGGUUUUCUUGCGUGCAAUGAUGCUUAAACUGGGUUUUUCAGCCACAUGGGUCUCCAAAGUCAUGGAUUGCAUCUCCACUACAACUUUUUCGGUGCUCUGGAAGGGUACUCCGGUUGGGCACAUUAUGCCACAGCGUGGGUUACGGCAAGGAUGUCCUUUAUCUCCAUAUCUUUUUCUUAUAUGCACUGAGGGGUUCUCGUGCCUAUUGCAUGGUGCAGAAAGGAGAGGUGAUUUGGUUGGGGUUCAAGUGGCAAGGGGGGCGCCUUCAGUAACUCAUCUAUUGUUUGCAGAUGACAGCAUUCUAUUUAUGAAGGCAACGAAUAAGGCUUGUAUGGCUUUGGAAACAUUAUUCCAAACCUAUGAAGAGGUAACAGGGCAACAAAUCAACUAUUCUAAAUCUGCGCUCUCUCUAAGUCCGAAUGCCACAAGGGCAGAUUUCGAUAUGAUUGAAGGUGGUUUAAACGUCCCUGUUGUGCGGUGCCAUGAGAAUUAUUUAGGUCUGCCAACUAUCGCUGGAAAGGGAAGGAAACAACUCUUCCAACAUUUAAAAGAUAAACUUUGGAAGCAUAUAAGUGGGUGGAAGGAAAAGCUCUUAUCUAGAGCGGGGAAAGAGAUUUUAAUCAAAGCCGUGUUACAGGCAAUCCCCACCUAUUCGAUGAGUUGUUUUCAGAUUCCAAAAGGAUUGUGCAAGGAGCUUAAUGGAAUCAUGGCUCGAUUUUGGUGGGCAAAGGCGAAAGACAAGAGGGGUAUUCAUUGGGUGAAGUGGGAGUUGUUGUGUAAGAGCAAGUUUGCAGGAGGGUUGGGGUUUCGUGAUCUUGAGGCAUUCAAUCAGGCUCUGCUUGCAAAGCAAUGUUGGCGCAUUCUCCGGACUCCAGAGUCGCUAGUAGCAAGGAUUUUUAGAGCCCGAUACCAUCCAUCAGUACCAUUCUUAGAAGCUGAAGUGGGAACCAAUCCAUCCUUCAUUUGGGGGUCUUUGCAAUGGGGGAAAGAGUUGCUCAAUAAGGGAGUGCGUUGGAGAGUUGGCAGUGGAGUGUCCAUCCAGGUUUAUACUGACAAAUGGCUUCCAGCCCCGUCUUGUUUCAAAAUUAUGUCUCCUCCCCAGUUGCCUCUGUCAACUCGGGUUUGUGAUUUAUUCACCUCUUCAGGGCAGUGGAAUGUGCCAUUACUUAAGGAUAUUUUUUGGGACCAAGAGGUGGAUGCAAUAUUGCAAAUCCCAUUGGCUUCCUUGGCAGGUCACGAUUGUUUAAUUUGGCAUUAUGAAAGAAACGGCAUGUAUUCGGUCAAAAGUGGAUAUCGGUUGGCAAGGUUGGAGAAGGAUAAAAUGAGUGGAGAGCCCUCAGCUAGAGUUGAUUUGAAUUCAAAGUUCUGGAAGAAAAUUUGGGCUCUUAAAAUCCCAAAUAAGAUUAAGUUCUUUCUAUGGAGGUGUGCCUGGGAUUUUUUGCCUUGCGGUCAGAUACUUUUCAAUCGGAAAAUAGCGCCUACACCUAUCUGCCCCAAAUGCCAUCGCAAAGCUGAAAGUGUACUACAUGCUGUAUGGUUGUGUGAGGCUGCAAAGGAGGUGUGGCGCAACUCAGCAUGGGGGAACGUCUGUGAAGUGUGGAGGGUCAAUUCUUUCAGAGAGCUAUGGCAUGCACUACAGCUAUCCUCAAGUGGGGAAGAGCAAGGGCUGUUUGCAUAUCUGUGCUGGGGACUUUGGAAUAGGAGAAACAGCUUUAUCUUUGAAGGGAAAUCAGAAACUGCAAUACAGUUGUUGUCUCGAAUGACCAAACUUGCACAAGAGUUCUCUGAUGCAAACAACAUCUUGCACACAAUCCAUGGUCGUCAGUCUAGCCCUCCAGCUCCUUUGCAAGGCUGGAGGCCUCCACCAGCAGGUAUUUACAAAAUAAAUGUCGAUGGGGCAGUCAAAUCUGGAGACUCCGUACGAGGGGUUGGGGUGGUCGUCAGAAACGCGAACGGGGAAUUCAUGGCGGCAUGUGUCAGGCGAAUUCACGCCAGUUAUGGGGCUAGGCAAACGGAGCUUAUGGCUACAAUAGAGGGCCUGCGUUUUGCUAUUGAUAUGGGCUUUACUGAUGCUAUUCUAGAAAUGGACGCCCAAGAUUGCCUUAAUAGUAUUUUCUCAACAGAGGAGUAUAAUGGAAUUGAUGGUCUUUUGCUUGAGGAGGUGAACUAUCUACUUAAUAAUUUUAGAGCAGUCGUCUGUCACUGGACUCCAAGAUGCGGUAAUAAAGUGGCACACACUUUGGCUCAGUUUGCUUUUCAUUGUAAUGAAUUUGUUACCUGGAUUGAGGAAGCACCAAGUUGGUUGCUCCCUGUGCUUGAAGCUGAUGUACUCUCUUUGGAGUGUUGAAUGAAAUUUUGUUUCUCAAAAAAAAAAAAACUUACUUAACUUUCAAUUUACUCUUAUUUUUCUUUUCUUUUUUUUUUCAAAAAAUUAAGAAUAUAAACUCUUUUUUUUUUACUAAUUUCCCUCGUACCGUCUAAAUCAUCAACAUUUCAUUCAAUUUUUUGUUAAAUCAUUACAUAUAAAUUUAUUUUUUUUAAGACAAAAUUAAACAAAAACAAAAACAAACCUAUCCCUACCCACAGACGCCCCCCAAAAAAAAUCCCCUCUCUUUUUUCCUCCCCUGACUUGACUACCCCUUUCCCACUUGCAGCUCACACCAAGACCCAUUCGCAACCCAUCCCACCUCCCCACCGUCGCUGCCUCCCCUUUCGCAACUCACCCCCAGACCCACGACCACCCAUUUACCCAUCACAACCUCCAUUCUCCCUCUCAGUAGCCCACCUUCCCACAGCCAACACCCCACAACCAUCACACACACACACUCUCUCUCUUCCCCCAAACCCCAGGUCCAUCCCCGACUCCCACAAAAUCACCCACCUCGCCACAACCCUUCUGCCCCUGGUGCGGUUUUUGAUCAAAUAGAUCUAGGAUUUUUUGUAUGUUCAAAUAUAUGGUGGUGGUUUUGGUAUUGUUGUAUGGGAUGUGUUCGAUUUUGGGGAAGAAGGGGGUUGGUCUGAGGCUUAUAGGAAGUGGGGUUGGUAAGUAGAAAUUCAGAGGCUUAAUAGGAAGUGGGGUUGGUUUGAGGAUGACAUUCUCUCUACUCUCUUUUUUUUUUUUUUAAAUUAAUAAAAACUUUAUUUGUAUCAUUAUUAUUUCAAAUUUCAAAUUAUUUUAUUUUAUUUUAACAUAGAAAUGAUCAAUUUGCCUUCAUAUUUAAAAGCAAAUUAGAUGAAAUGUUGAGGAUUUAGACGGCUGGGGAAAAAUUGGCCAAAAAAAGAAGUUCAUAUCCAUCAUUUUCUAAAAAACAAAAAUAGAGAGUAAAUCGAAAGCUAGGUUCAAAUUCAAUGGGUAAAUCACAAGUUACGCCUUUAAUUUAUUAUCUGAUUUUGUUUUUAAUUAAGGAUUUGAAUUUAUAUUUAUAGCCAAUAUCACCCCACCAUCAAAAUCGUCCAAUUUCAUCCAUAAAUCUGUUAAGUAGAGUAGAGUUACAUGGGCAUACAUUUGACUCUAUUUUAAGAAUAUUUUGGUCAUUUUCACACCAAACCUCCUUCAAUUUUCUCUUUCAUUUUUUUGGUUGAAAUGGGGGCAUUAACCUCUCUUCUCCCUCUCAGCAGCCAUAACUACCGCCUCAAAGUCUAGCACCACCAAAAUAGAAGGGCAGAAAGAGACCCAUAGUGUCAUUCCUAUUUGGGGCGUGAAUUUGGCAUGGGGCUUAUGAUGAUGAGGUAUUUAAUAGCCAUAUGAUAGUCAUUAUUCCACGGUUGCAUUGAACCUCUCAACACACCCCUUAAUAUAGCCCCUCAUUAUAGAAGGUCUAUAAAUUCGGCACUUGAGUUCAUUGGGGUCUUGGGAUUACAAGAAUUCUAUAGUGAGGGUCUUAUAAAUGGCCCUUAAGUGAGAUUCUAUCUUUUAAUUGUUGAAUCAAAUUAGUUAAUUGUUAAAUCAAAUUAGUUAACCUGAUCCAACAGUUAAGAAAUAUGACUUUACAUAAUGGCUAUAUAUAAGGCCCUCAUUAUAGAAUGACUCCUUGAGAUUAUUGGUCAUAUGUGGGCUGGGUUCGAAUGGGCUUGAGCUUAACAGGCAAAUUGGGUUUUGUUUUCAGUUUGGAUUUCGGACCAAGAAAACAAAAAGCACAGGCCAUUUACAUUUUAGGCAUUGGCGUUAGAGCGGGAUCAUAAUUAAUUUGCGGGACCACCAACACGUCUAUUGUAGCAGAUCACGACUUCUGCGGCACCUGCCAGAAAACGCAUACAUUUUUCUUCCUCGUUAGUCUUCCGUCCACCCCUAAAUCCCAUUCCACAACGAAAACAAGAAAACCUAUACGAACCAAACGAACUUUCAAAUCAAGUUCAUAAUCGAAACUCGGACAUCGUUUGUUUUCAGUCUCGUUUUGAAUUAAAAGGUAAUUGAAUUGUUAGUUUGACUAUCUAAAACCCUAGCUAGCUUUUCUGACCAUCGUAAUAUUCUCUGGUAAAUUUUGUGGUUUUGAAGGAGAGAAAUGUCGGCCGAUUUGACGCUGAGAUCGUCGUGCAGCGGAUGUGGAUCGACGUCGGAAUUAUACGGAAGCAAUUGCAAGCACAUGACUCUGUGCCUGUCCUGUGGCAAAACCAUGGCUGAGAACCGCGCCAAAUGCUUUGACUGUGGCGCCAUCGUCACUCGCUUAAUUCGAGUUCGCUCUCUCUCUAUUUGUUAUAUACAUUUAUUAUAUCUAUAUUCUGGAGAAAAAUAGAGUACUGAUUUAUGUAUUUUUCGGCUGUUCCUGAAAUAGGAGUAUAAUGUUCGUGCGAGUACUGUAAACGACAAGAACUACUUCAUUGGUAGAUUUGUGACUGGGUUGCCAAGUUUUUCGAAGAAGAAAAAUGCUGAAAAUAAGUGGUCUCUUCACAAGGAAGGACUACAAGGACGCCAACUUUCUGAUACCUUGCGGGUAAUUCAAUUCAAUUCAAUUUUUUUUCAUUCCCUUUGUAACAGAAUUUUGGUGUGUGCAUUGCACUUCAAAUACUCCAAGUUCUUGUGUUUUUUUCUUUUCUAUUAAUUAUGAAUCCGCUCGAACUUAAGACAGUUGUGAGAUGUUUGAUGAACGGACAUUGAUGCAGUUUGUAGGGUUCAGUGUAUUCUUUGUGUUUAUCACUUGUUCUUAUUACAUUAAAUUUCGUUUACGUAGGAUAAGUACAAGAACAAACCUUGGGUCUUGGAGGAUGAAACUGGCCAGUCUCAGUACCAGGGUCAUCUUGAAGGUGCACAAACUGCAACAUACUACCUACUAAUGAGGCAAGGAAAGGAGUUUUCAGCUAUUCCUGCUGGUUCUUGGUAUGCCUGCUUGGCCUUUCUGUUAGAGCUAUUUUCAGUUUGUGGUUAAUCAUUCAUCACUAUUAACCGUUAGCAUAUGCAAUAAGAUCUAAGUGCUACCCAUAGUACGUAUUACCUAAAGUUCUGAAUAAUAGUGAAGGAAGGCAAAUAAUAAAUGGGAUUGAUAGCCCUGUAUGAAUUGUCCUCCAAUUUAUAUAUAUAUAUAUAUAUAUAUAUAUCCAAAAUCAACAAAUAAUUACAGUAAGCAUAGAAUGAAAUAGGUUAGGUAAUAAAUGUUCUUAGAUCAAUAUAAGUGAAAAUUAAAAUGCGACAAGACUACAAAGAGCAAUUAGGCAAUGUCAAAUGAUCAUAAUCUAUACAAAAACUUAAUAGUGACAAUCCUGGAAAAAGGGGAACAUUUUUAGAUCAUCAUUACUGCAAAUGUAUUCAUAUUUGGGUCUGCAGGAGAGUUGUAAUUGAUUGUCGUCCAUUUGUAUAUGUUUCACAAACAGGAGUUGAAUCAAUUAUUAAACCAUCGGAGCACUUGUUUAUUAAUUAAAUUGAGUGUAGAGUUAAUCAUUAAUGAAACUAAUAGUCUUGACAUGAAUACAUAGAAGAGCUUUACAUAAUCACCAAUUAUGGUUGCAAUCGUUUUGUCCAUCUACAUAUCAAAAUAAGGUUGUUUUGAUAAUAUCUCUUAGGUUCAACUUCAACAAGGUUGCACAAUACAAGCAACUUACAUUGGAGGAAGCUGAAGAGAAGAUUAAAAAUAGGAAAAAGACCGCAGAUGGAUAUGAAAGAUGGAUGAUGAAAGCUGCAAAUAAUGGAGCUGCUGCAUUUGGUGAGGUGGAGAGGUUUGACAAGGAUAAUAGUGUGACGAGUGGGAAGGGACGGAAAAAAGCUGGUGAUGAUGAUGAUGGUGAAGGAAAUGUCUCAGAUAAAGGUGAGGAGGAUGAGGAAGAAGAGUUAGCCCGGAAAAAUAGACUGAACAAAAAAGGUGGUGAUGAUGAUGAUGAUGAUGGUGCAAGGGGAGCUGAUGCUGACUUGGACGAUGAUGAUGUCGAGAAGGGUAGGCAGUUAUUCUUUUCUCUAUUUUGCUUUAUAAACAAUAAAUCAUGAGCACAAUUUCCUUUCUUCCUUGCUAACCUCAAUAACUGAUACCCAAUACCAUUGAGGUGAUAUGAACACAGUCAUCUUGGUGAUAUGAACACAGUCAUCUUUCUUCCUUGCUAACCUCUCAAUCAUCAAUACCCAAUACAAUUAUUUAUCUCCACAAAGUUUCAGAAAAGUGAAAUUCACGAUGGUCCUACUUGCCAUGGCAAGAUGAUGCAUGUUUAGGCAUAAUGGGGGCAUCCUUUUUACAGUCUUUUUUUAUGUAUCUCGUGAAAAUUAAUGGUCAUUAGCCAUAUCUUUCGUAAAGUACUUCAUUACUUAAUAUGUUUGGCUUUACUUGUUAGUUCUAUGUUUGGUCAUCCAUUGGGGAAGCCAUAUCAAUUGGCUUCCUUUUGUUUCAUGUGAUAUGAGGUGCUUUUAUGUCUAGCACUUGCAUUUUUUUUUCUUAACAUGCAUGAGAAUAGGUUCUCAGAGGGGGGUUAUCCUGUGCUAUCUCUGUUAAAUGAAAUUUAAGUCUUGUCUUGAUGUCUUCUUUUCGUAAACAUGAAAUGGGCACUUGAUGAAGUCCAUUAUAACCAUGUCUGCAUUUAUUUAUAAUUGUCCCCCCCCCCCCUUUGUUGUAGGAGAUGAUUGGGAGCAUGAAGAAAUUUUCACUGAUGAUGAUGAAGCUGUUGGCAAUAAUCCUGAGGAAAGGGAAGAUUUGGAACUUGAGGUUCCAGCUCCUCCAGAAAUUAAGCAGGUUUGCUGCACACAUGUCCCGUAAUUGCUUUGUUUGGGGUUCUACAUUAUGUGUUAUGUUGCACUGUGCUCUUCAAGUAUAUCUUCUGCUAGAAAAUACUGAUAUUUCAAGAUAUAAUGCUUGAUGAUUUCCAUUUUCUGGUGCAACUUGUUUAUGCUGUUUUCACAAAGUAUGUCAAUUUUAUACUGGUCCAAGUUCUUUGUAAGUUGUGGCUCUUUGUCCAUUUUCUUUCACAGGAUGAUGAGGAUGAGGAUGAAGAUGACAAGGAGGGCGGACUGAGCAAAUCUGGAAAAGAGUUGAAGAAGUUACUUGGGCGAACUGGUGGGCUGGAUGAUUCAGAUGCAGAAGAUGACGACGAUGACGAUGAUGAUGUAGGUUAUUUAUUUAUUUAUCUUUGGGAUACUCAAUCUUAGUACGUUACAUGAUAACAACUCAAAGGCUAUACUGCCUGCGUCACUUAGUCAGAACUGCUUCCGUUAUAUGAUUAUAAAUUUUGUCCUGCACUGCAUGCAUUCUGAAAAGUGAUGGGGCAUUUAUGUUGAAGAUACCAAUUUGUUUUAUGCAUUGACUUAGACUUUUUGAAGAUUGGUGUUGUACUGUUAAAGUGCAUCACAGCUCUUUGUUCACUGAUCGGCAUUUCCUUUCUGCUUUUCCAGAUGGAUGAUGAUAUUGGCUUUCCUCAAGCAGCGGCACCAAAGCAAAAGGAUGCAUCCAAAGAGGAACCAUCUGACAACAGUCCCUCAAAACCAGUGCCUUCUGGGUCUGCUCGAGGAACUCCAUCUACCGCCAAGUCCGCAAAGGGAAAGAGAAAAUUAAGUGCUGAUGAUGCUAAGACAUCUAACAGUGCACCUCCCAAGAAGGUGAAAAGUGAAAAUGUAUGAUUGUUACUAACUUUGUUUUUUUAUCAGCUUCGAAACUCCCCAUGCUCACUACUGAUGAUAUUCAUGUAACCAAAAUUAGGAACAAAAAGUUUCCACCAAAGAGGAGCCUGCAUCUGCUUCUAAAAGUAGUACACCUUCAAAAGGUACUCCAUCGGUAAAAGUGGAGCCAACAUCAUCAAGUGGACCCGUCACUGAGGAAGAAAUCAGGACUGUUUUGGUGCAAAGAACACCAGUCACCACACAAGAUCUUGUUGCUAGAUUUAAGGCAAGACUCAGAUUGCAAGAGGUAUGAUCUAUCAUGUGUUUAUACUACUGUUUGACUCAUUUUCCUGGCUUUUACCUCUUCUGUAUAACCCUUGCUGAAAAUAACAUGUGUGACUGCUGCCGUAGUGUCCAUUCAAGCAGACUCUUUAUGUGAACGUUAAUUGCUUGGUUACAUUAGUGACCUUGGAUAUAGAAAGAGUUUGCAUUUGUUUGCAGUAUGAUACAAUCUUUAUAUGUUCACUCAAAACAAAGAAUGAUCGGAUGUAAGAUGGUCCUAAAGAAACACUAUGGAAGUUAUAAAAUGUUCACUCAAAACGAAGAAUGAUUGGAGGAAAGAUGGUCCUAAAGAGAUACAUUAUGGAGAGUUUUAAAUGUGUUGCUUCUUUUCGCCCAGAUACAAAUACUGAAACUGAUUGUAUUCAUGUGUUCCUCUUCUCCAUCAUGUCAAAUGCAUAUAGUUCAUAUAAUUUCUGCUCGCAUAUGUUUGAACAACAAUUGCGUUGUAAUAUGGUUUGAAUUUGAAGGAACAUAGAGACGUGAUACUUUUGGAAUAUGGUAGUUUUGUUCCUAUUUGUUCAUUCUGUGUGUGGUGCAGGACAAGACAGCUUUUGCUGCGAUCCUGAGGAAAAUUUCUAAGAUACAGAAGACCACCAACGGAUCCAGCUAUGUUGUGCUGAGAGAUAAAUGAUUGCCACUCACCCCUGCCCCCACCCCGACCCCCGAAUAUGUAAUCAGCCUUCAAACAAUACUUCUGAGGCGGCCAUGAAUUGGAUUCUGUCUUUUUUUUUUGUCUUUCCAAUUUGUUAGCAAUAUGGACAAUUGCGUGUGUAAAUAUUUCGAAACUAAUUGGCUUCAUUUUCCGAAUGCAUUGUGUGAUAGUUUAGCUGAAACAAUUUCAACUUUCAUUUUCAUACUAAAGUAGAAUUAAUACAUAGAAAAAUCCAAAUUCAUAUCAAUCCUCACCUCUUACUAAAUUAGAAUUAAUACAUAACAAAGCUGGCAAUCUUCUCUUCUUUUCAGUGGCUCAUACAAUCCAACACGCGAACAACAAAAUACCCCUCACAUAAUCUUUAAGUCUGACUACUCACUAAAUACCCAUUACAUAACAAAGCAAACCAAAUGACAACAAAAUGAAACUUGCAGCGGUGAGGCGGGUUGAGCCAGAAGGAGUUGUGGGCCCCGCAGCAGCUGCAGCCAACAGAGAGCUGUUUGGUUUUGCUAUUGCUAUUUUGGGGUUGGGCGUUUCAGGGUUUUGAUAAGAUUGAGGCAUGACUUGCACGUGCAACUUGAGCCCAUUCUUGCAGCUCUCCACGUUACUGCUGGCGAAGUAGCGGAGUCCCUCCUGGUCCAUAGAGAUGCUAUCCAAACCGUCCGUGAACAUCCUGAUUGGGUUGCCUACAUCGCAUGACUCGAAUUCCUCCUUGCUCUUCACUUCAGCUAUGUACCCAUGCGCUGCAGAGUAGGCUAACCCUGCCCAUCCAUAAAAGUCCCCACACAAACAAAAGAGUCUUGUGAGUUGUUGUGAACUUGUGAAUGAAUGAACAACUGUGUUGAAAAUGACUUUCUUCUUUCACCAAAAAAAGAAAAUGACAUUCUUUCCACUUUACUCUCUCGAUUUUCUCGGAAACCAAACAAAUGGCUUGGUUAAAAGAUGCCAACAAAACGAAAGCAAAGCAUAAAUAACAAAAUUUUAAGCUCUAGAGGGAGAGAGAGAGAGAGAGAGAGAGAGAGAAAGAGAGAAGGAAGACUCACAGAUGUUGUCUCCGACCCUGAAAGUUUUGUUGGAGGACCAAGAAGCGAGGUCGGAAGAAGGGUCCCAGCCACGGUCUCCUCCAACGACAUGGUGCAGUUGGGCUCCAACCCCACAAAUCCCUCCAAGGCUCACAGUGGCCAAAACCACAAUCGCCACCACCACCUUCAAACCAUAUUCUCCAGCCAUUAUACUCAAGUCUCUCUUUCUCUCUCUCAACCCAAAGAGGUAGCUUAGCGUUGCUUUUAUCUCUCUUUUCCUGACCAAAAAGUAAACGCUAAACAGUAGGGACUGGUACAGCAAGAGAGAGAGAGAGAGAUAAGGAGAGUGAUAAAGUGAAGGGCAAGUAAAGGCGCCUUCUUUCGGUUUUUAGCGGUAGCUAGCUAGCUCUCGUCAUCUCAUCUCACUAAAACUUGCGAAUAUUAACUUUCCACGCAACUUCCCUUCUCCCCCGUUCUUAAAAGGACACCCCCAACACACAUACAAUACAACCAAUGGACAUGGAGGACACUCAAGACUGAAGGACCGGUGGUUGGUCACAUUCGCAUCGCAUCCAUGACUGAAAGACCGUUUGUUUGUUCGCUUCUCUUCUACCCUAUAGGGCCCUCCCUCUCUACCACCGGACCACUCUUCCACUGCGAUCAUUCGCUUUUUUACCAAAAUACCCUCUUCAUUUGUUUUUGGGACUAAUGUGCACCAAGCCUUAAGUGGUCUUGUGUUCUCCAUCUCGAAGGUCAUAAAGGAAGACGAAAAUAGGGUUAUGCCGGUACGUUAGUCCCAAAACACCCUCAAAUUUACAGACAACUUAAUAAAUAAAUAAAACUAGAGAGAAUUGAUAAAACAAAGGGCACACUUUAUGCGUGACAUUAACAUGUAUAAUAUAUAUGUAUAGGAAUCCGAAUAUGAAAGACGGUUUGAAAUUUGAAGGUUUUUUUUUGGUCUGACCCAAAUUUGAAGGUUAGGUGCGUAUAUAUCCUUUCUUCUUCUCCUCUCACCCAACACCGCAUGCACCACCAACAAACCAAAGACGCUCUCCCUUUGUAUUUGGUACAACAGAACCAAAGAGAAGCUAGCCGCAUAUAUUUCUUUACUUUAACUUCUUGGGACUUUGUAAAUAUUAAUAAAAUCAAUCCCUGCUGUAAGCUUUUUCUUUUUUUCGAGGUGAAUUGAUGAUGAGAAAGAUGAAUGAAACCAUGCAUGGGAAUAACUAAAACAUGAGCAGAUGAAUGCACCUUAGACAUUUGUCAGUAGUAGAGAAACAGAGAGAUCUUUCCAUAUACAGCAAUAAUAAUAGGAUUAAGUAAUUAAAACUGAACUGCUGUGAGUGAGAUUGCAAACAUAUUAUUCACAUCAAAACCCAAAACCAAACCUGAUGAAGCAAAACUGGUGUCUUUGACUAAGAUUUGACAUCUUGGCUGGUAGAUGUGCUUAUAUCAUAGUCUUCAUCAUCACUAUCACUUGUCUGUCACUGCCAUGAUCUCCUCUGAGGCAAAGUACUUACAUGUAACGAGGAUAACAUUGUUUUGCUAUUUGCAGCCAAUAACACAAUGACAUGUGAAAAAGUUAUCCUACUUGUCAUUGUGUUAUUGGCCGGGGAUAGCAAAAAGUGAUAUCCCCAUGUAAGAGUUUC
rnacentral:lncRNA from 1 species